AGUUGGUCUUACUCACGCAUGCCCCCUUGAAACGUUGGCUUUGGGACUCGCAAGUUCUCGCCUCCACCACCAUCGGCUCCAUCUCUGUUCAUAUCAAAAUGAAGGUGAAAGCAAAAAAGGGUCGAGUUAAUCAAAAUUCUCUCAUGGAAAAUGAGUUGACAAAUCAUGCUCAGAACCAUCUAUAAGCCAUUUCGUUGAGCCCUUUAUAUUGUAAGUUCACUACCGUCUUAUUGUUUUGUGUGAUUUUAGUGAAGUGUAUAUGAAACACAUGCAUGCAUAAGUGGGUUGUAGGAUGAGGAAGAACCAGUUGCCACAAGCAGCAGCAUCACAAUAAGAGCAGCUGGAAUCAGUCGCUUCGAGAAAUCCAUUGUGUGUGUGUGUGAGAGAGAGAGAGAGAGAGAGAGAGAUGGAUGGAUGGAGGAAUGGGCACGGCACGAAAGUUGAUUUAUAGGUGAGUGAGGUGGCGAGCAUAAGCUAAUUAUUCGAUAGUUCGUUGGCAGAUUUGGAGUCACAGAUUGAUCGAGAAAAAGAGAAACGGAGGUAGAAAUUAUUUCUGCCAGGUCUAAAUGAAGGGUCUUGCAUGGAUCCCGAUAGAUCGACGGUCCAAAAUUCGGUCUAGCUCAUGGCAAAUUAAUAACUAAAAGAAAAAUGGGUAGGCUUCCGGAUCCAUCUUACGCCAGUACAGCACAAACCGCACUUUAGACAGGAUUGCCUUUACUUUUUUAACGUGUCUUUGAUAACUAUGAGCUUCGUUGUCCUCAAAUGCCAACCAUUGCUGUAGAUCUGCUCACGUUCACACAACGCACCCCUCUUUCUUUCCAAAGGAUCGCCUCAAAUCUGCUUUAACAUAUCUCAUCCAAACUCUUUUCAAAAAGAUCCAGCUCCUCGGGUCCCCCUUGUCUUCACACGCUCACCACGUUUAUAAAGAGACCCAAUUGAUUGCUCCUGCUUUUCCAUCAUCUAAAGUUUUCACUACAAAAAAUACUUAAUAGCUUUACAUACCAUAUGAGUUACCGACACUCCCCUUUACAGUAUGCUUUUCAUAUGUAAAAUGUACGAAAGAGUACUUCUUGUUCUGUUUAUAAAUUAGUUAUGUUUACGCAUGAAAACUAGUCGACAAGAUGGCUCUCCAUGAGCCACGACAUUGGUCUCCUUCAAGUGAAAACUGUUGAGUUGGAUUCACUUCCUCGUGUAGGAUUUAUACAUAUAGAAUUUCACGUGAAUGUUAAGCUUACUAAGUCUACAUGUAUAAUUUGUUUCACCCAAGGUUAGUUUCUAUAUAUGCGUGUAUACUUCAAAAGAUUUCGUUAGCAUUGAUAAAUGACAAAAUGACAUUGAACAUUAAACAAAAAUUCAGAAAGCUUAUUAAGCCAAUCAAAAGUUCAAGAAUAAUAAUAUAUAUCGAACAAAAAUUUAUGGAUCGAAUUGAACCAAUUGAUAGUUCAAGAAUAAAUUAUACGUCCAAAAAUUCAAGUGCUAAUAAUAUCAUUGUCACAUCAUCAACUUAAUGCUAGAAUUAUUAAUUAAUUUAAAAGAUAGGAGUUAGUGAAGCUUUUUAGGACUUUCUUCUUAAAGAACACAACUAAUAGAUAGUUUAUAACGUGCAUUGAUGGAUACUCCUUCCUUUCCAAUCUUUUUUUUUUUUUUUUUUGGAAAAGUUAAAAAGUACCCUAUUCAAAACAAAAGGAGAUUUUAUACUAAAAUAUUCCACCGUCCUUCGGACUGAGAGAAAAUUCUCAAAAGUUUGUUGGAAACAAAACUAGUGGGACAUACAUACACUCUAUUCAUUUCAAAGAAAACGAAAUUUGCUGGAAAGAUGUUUUCGAAAAAAAAUUAUUUGCAAAGAAAAUGAUUAUAUGAAAUCAUUUUUUAUAUUUGUUUUAGAACAAUGAUGAAAAACGCUUUUGAAAAAAAAUUAUAAGCACGGCCCAAGUCUCAAGUAAGAGUCCUCGAGUUUUGGGCUCUAGUAUCAAGAAUCUAACUCAGAUAUGGUCACAAAGGACCCGAGCCUGGCUUCAAGGUCCUUAGCAUGAGCACUAGGGACCUAGCACAACUUGCCAUGGACUUGGAGACAAGUGUCAGGGUCUCGAAAUAUUUUAUUAUAGGAUAAGUACAAUAAAAGUUCUAAAACAUAUCAAAUUGAUUCAAUCGAGUCCUAAAGUUUUUUUUUUUUUUUGAUGACCCGGGGAACCUGUACAACCGGUAGCCGGCAAGCAAAUCUUGGGGUGACACUAGCGGAGGACCAACCACCUCGACGCCACACUUAAGACACCAAAUGCCUCAUCUGGGUUUUGAACCCCUCACCUUUGGGGAAUGAUCAAUGAAGUUCUUAUCUAGCAGACCCCUCACCUUUGGGGAAUGAUCAAUGAAGUUCUUAUCUAGCAGAGCCACCACAGCAGUGGGACGUGAACAUGACAUUUUAAAUGAAUUUUUAUUUUUCAUGUGAUUUUUUUAAAAUUAUUUUUAUUCAAAUUUGUUGGCAAAUGUGAUUUUUUUAAAAUUAUUUUUAUUCAAAUUUGUUGGCAAAAGCACCUGCCAUUUUCUCUUCUUUUUUUUGAACUGUUUUGUUUCUUAAAUUAAUUUUAGCUUUUCUUUUCUAGUUUUUAAAUCAAAUUUGAAUAAAAAAUAGUUUUAAAAAAGCCACGUAGAAAAUAAAAAUUUAUUUAAAAUGCCACAUCCGGCCAUGUCAACAUUUUUUGUUAAAAAGUUUGAUUGUGCAAAUUUUAAGACUUGAUUAAAUCAAUUUGACAAAUUUCAAGAGUUGAUUGUACUUUUUACAAGUUUUAAGACUCAAUUGCAUUUUCCUUACAAGUUUUAGGACUUCCAUUACACUUAUCCCUUCUAUUAUUUAUCAAACAGUAAUAUUCCAAUUUAAUUCUAGCAACAUGCAAUGCAGAACCUUUGAUUUUCCACUACGAAAUUAUUUGACACUAGAAAUCCUUACAAGAUCGCCAUUACACUUGAUAAACGGCGACUGUGUGAUUCUUGUCGAUGCAUCAGCCUCGAUCAGAUUGCCAAGCUCAAGAAAACACCAAAAAAACAGGCCUUACUUAUUAAGUCAUCAAUGCCUGUCAUCACUUAGCAGAUAGUUUAUAAGUCACAAUACGCAUUUACAUGCUGGCAGGCAAAUGAACAUACAGCUACUCAGUAGAAGAUACAAGAAAUAGUGGAAGGUUCAGCGCCUUCCUGAUGCCACUGAUUCAGCAGAGAAGAGGUACUUCACUCUCGAAAGCACUGAAUCAUGAGCAGGGUCAUAAGGAUGAUCCUUUGAAGGGAUCUCAAGAAUUGCUGGAACUGGCUUAUUGUAGCUAUCAACCAGAAACCUUAUCAUGUUUGCAACCUGAAAGCCAGGGACAUCAUAAACAAUUAAAAGUAUGUCACAUAUGGGACUUAUUAUUGGAGAGGAAUAAUAGCCCAUUUGUAAUGAUCAGAAAGGCCUACGCAGCAAUAAUCGGCAAACACAGGACCAACAUUGUUUCUGCGACCGUCCAAAAUAUUUGGAUUGGACCCAAAAGGAUCUUGAAAUUAAUAAUCAUUGAUACCCUAUAAGAUGCUCUUAUUUGUUAAUGUAGGAGGCUGGAUGACUAGAUCAAUACAAGGCCAAUGAGCGACCAAUGCUUACUACUCAUGUACAUGUAAUAGACAUUAGUAGGGUUGCUGAUCACUAAUUUAACCAAAAAAAAAAGGACCCUUUGUUUGCUAUGUGGAAAAACAACUAACCAAAUGCAGUACCCUCCAAGCGUGAGAAACAAUAAGGAUACGUUUGGUCGUCCGGAUAAUAAUCAGGAUAGGAUAGGAUAAAGUAGGAUAUUAAAUCCUUUGGAUAAUAAAGGCGGACAUAUCUAAUCUUAUCAAGUGUUUGGUGCACUUCAGGAUAAGAUGAAAAAAUAAAUAUGAUAUUCAUUUAAAUUAUAAAAUAAAAAAAUAGAAAAUUCAAUUAAUUAAAGGCCAUGGAAAAACCCUAGAUCUAGGAAUUGUGGCCACCUCCGCAGUGGCUACCAUUGAAAACGGCAAGUGAUAUCUUCUUUUUUUGUUAAGUUCUUUCUUUUCUCAAAAAAAAAUCUUAUCCAAUCCGGGCUUAUCCCACCCCCUCCCCCGGAUUUUUUAUCCGGCGUUUUAUCCGGAUAUAUCCAGGUUUGUCCGAUCUGGUGGACAUUCCCAAACAUCGGAUAGAAUAACAAAUUAUCCUAUCCGGAUGUGGAAAAACAACUAACCAAAUGCAGUACCCUUGAAGCACUUGAUCCUUUAUUUAUCAGGAAAAGCAACCCAUUUAAUCUACAUUUCAAGUAUGAAAGAGAACUCACAUAUUGACUGAUCAAAACAAUAGCGAUAUCCUCCCUUGAUGUGAACUCCUUGAAGGUAUCUUCAAUUGCUUUCACAGUUGUUUCUAAGAAGAACCACCGAAAAAAGAAAAAAAAGAAAAAAAGAAAUCAUUAUAGAGGCAAGCAUCAGCUAUCUUAGAAUUCUGCAACAUGUUGCUUAAAGUAAUAGUGCAAUCAGAGAAUGAAAGACGGGUUACAAACACUAACAUCGCAAGAAGAAAUUAAAAGCACAUCUGCAUCUAAGAUUUAGCAAGAGACAUACCAGUUUUUAAUACAAAGAACUUGACAUGGAACAGUUUUAAUACAAAGAACUUGACAUGGAACAAACAAGCUACCUAGAAGUAUUUGGACAACAAGCAGUCUGAGACAUAAGGGGGUUAUGCCACAAUACUAUGGAAGAUAAUUGCAGCGCAAGAACUUGUGAAGGACUAAGAUAUUGAUAAAUGAAUAUCAUUAUCAAUUCGAAUGGACAGCAGAUAAUGGUAAUGUAAGAGGGACAGAAUCAUACUCGAGUCAACGAUGAGAUAGUUUGUCUUCCUCCUUAAGUCAACAUUACCGACACCAGCCAGUAAAAACCCAGUGACAGUGUCCUACACAGUAAAUUCGCAUCAUUCAAGAAUUUCCAGAUCAAAAUAAUCUCCGGUGAACUAGCCAGCAUUACGUUGCAUUGAUUUAUUGCAACUAAAGUGCACACAUGUACAGUGCCAAGAUAAGGAUCUACAGCGGUAAAUGUAGUCUCAUUUCUGAUAGCUAAAGUUGCCAGGAACACUUUUAAUCUCUCUAUCGUUUUGACUAAUACAUCUCAAAGCAGUUUCAAUACUGUGAUUCGCAUAACAGACCAUGGAUAAUUUCAGAGUAAAUCUCAGGCACUUCAGAAAAUGUCAUCAUUAAAUAAAAUUAUACAUGGCUAUUUCAUGUCCCACUCAACCAAAGAAUGACCCAUGCAAACAAACGUUUUCCAGCCGUUUGAAUCUCAUACAGGUAAAUUCUAGAUUCCUGCAAAAGGACCUGCGGCCUCCAAGAAAGAAAACUGAUCACUCGAGAUACUAGAAAAACCAAGACAGGCAUCUCCCAAAGGUUGAACCACCCAUUUAAGUGCUACAUGAUUUAUAAAAUCCCACCCACCAAAAGUCAGCAACAUUUUUGGCCAAAGAUGCCCAUUUUACUUCAACCCGCUUGUUCAAAUAGUGCAACCAUAAAAUAAAAAGGCUUCACAAUUGCCUCAAAAAAAUUAUUCAGAGCCAAUAAGAGAACGAUCCAAUACUUAGAGGAAUCCCUCACGGUCCACAUCAUCAUCAAUUCAUUUCAGAAUUUCUUAUCCGCACAUAGGAUUGCAGUAUAUCCCAAAAGUAUCUGAAAUCAUGACCCACGAUCUCACUGCCUACGUUUCUUCAGACGAUGGUCAAAUUUUUAUUCAAAAUAAGUUCUCGCACUCAGGACUCCUACAAGAGGGAUGAUAUUCAACCAGGAACACUCAGAUCGUAUCUAUGCGUCCGUACCUCAUCGGCAAUCAUGGCAAUAAGUGCAGAACUUUUCGAAGCGAUAGGCGUCCUUCCGGCCAUUUUGUAGUCGAAUUAAGCACCUGCAACCAAUUGGCGCAAACUGGGAGAAAUUAUCCAACAAACGGUCAAAUUAAAACCCGGGCAAUUCUCUCUUCUGACAAACAAGACAUCCAACUCUAGCAUUCUCGAAUCUUCCCGCGAAAGACACUCGCGCGCGCAUUUGUUCAAGUAAAGCGAUGGAAGCAACCCAAAAAAAGAAAAAAAAAAAGCGUCUUGAUACAGAGAUCUCGCCCUUCACGUUUUUCUUCAACCAAGGAGAAUCAUAGCCACUACCGGAAUUCGGAAAAAUGAACCCUAAAUUAAGAAGAUUUCCAUCAAAAGUACCUAGUUUCUUACUCUCCCGUCCCCGGGAUUUCCAGCGAAACGAACACAUUUGCACUAGAAAAGAGACAGAGAUCCAGAUCAACAUCAAGCCUAUUCCUAAUCUCACGGAAUUCGAUCGCCGAUUGCAUUUCGUGGGAGGAUUUCUCGGUUCGCGAUCGAUCAACGAAUCGCGAAAACCAGAUCCCGGAUAUCAAAUCCGAACCAUCGGAAGGAUUAUCGGAGCGGAAAAAAAAAAAAAAAAAAUCUCAGCUGAAAAUCAUCUCGGAGCAAGCGGAUCGCUUCGAACCUGUGAGCUGAAUUGUCGUCGCCGCGGAUUGACGGAGCAGAGAUGCUAAUUGGACGGACUGAUCCUGGAGAAAUUCGGACUUUUUCCAGGGCUGCUGGGCACCGGAUGUGAAUAUCUCAAAAGCUUCCGCCUUUCCGAUUGUAAGUUGAGACAGAACCUAGUUUGGGUCGAGAGAACGGCCUUAUUUUAUUUUAUGCUAUUAUUUGGAAUUAUUCUAAAGUUUAGGGUAGACAUUAAAUAAAUUAAAAAUUCAAUGACAAUUGAGUUAAAAUUUUAAAUAUGAUAUUAAAUUAAUUAAAAGUUUGAGUACACAUCACACGUUGAAUCAGAAUUUGAAAAUCAUAUAUAUUAUUUUCCAAGAUAAAUUGACACGUGAUAAAUACAAGAGUUAUCUAUUUGUGGAUAUCGAGUAACGCAUAACUAUAAUUAGUGUUUUUGGAAUAUUGUCUAGAAAAUCUUGGACUUAUUGUAUAAUGGUCAAUUCAAUCUUCUACUUUUGAAUUUUGACAAUUUAGUCACAAACAUUUUGAUAAUUUCCUAAUAAAUUUCAUCUAGCAAAUUUAAGUUGGAAAUUAUUUCCUUGGACAAUUUUACAAAUUCCAUCUACUAUUCAUUUUCUUCCUUCACUAAUUACCGCGCUGAUCGGAAGCAGGGUUCCUCUUGCCAGUCACCCCUCUCCCAAAUCUAGCGAGAGUAUCUCGAGCCUCACCUAUAGCUAAUGCAGAUCAAAGGGACAAAAAAGAAAAAAAAUUACAAAAGUUUAAUAAAAAUUGUAAUCCGAUACAAUACUGACGAAAUCACCAUGCCAACCAUUAUCAAUCGAUCUAAAUUGGCCAAGCGAAUUACAUUAAAAAUUCGUCAAUUAUUUGAAGAAUUUAUGAAUAAUAUUCCCCAAUGUAUCCUAUGGCACUCUUUUCACAUGAAUUAUGAGUGCAGGUGGUCCUACUCAGGUGAGAUUGGCAAGUGUUCCGGAAGUAUACCAAUAGACUGGAAAUAGAAUAAUAGAAACUUUGCUAUUGCCGACUGCGUUUUCCAAAUGACAGCAGAAAAUAAAAAGAAAUUAUAGUUUUAAAUGGCCGUGACAUAUAAGACUACUCUAUGCUUUAAGCGCAUGCCCUGAUUAGGGCAGAUUUCUCAGCUUGUACAUGUACUCCCUGCUUUUAUAUUUCCUUAUUAAGGACGGGUAAUAGAUACAGCACGAACCCAACUCACCGCACAUUUUGUCUUUGAGUGCCCUUUGAUCAAAAUUGGAACUCAAACUAUCAGAAAGAGAUUUCAAACUUCAAAAGGGAGAUCCAAUAAAAUCGCCUGGGCAUACAUACAAUUGAGAUUCUAUUGCAUCACCAAUGAAAAUGCUGUCGCAAUGCAUUUCACUUGGAAGAUAACACAUUUAAAAUGAAAUCUACGGGUCCCUUGAAACAGACGAUGGUUUGGGGGAGCGAAUAGACAGUGGACCAAACAUGACAAUAUAGACAUGUAUGAGAAGUCCUUCCAUAAUUACCAGCAGAUCAAACCAUCCCAAAAGGUACAAUGUAACAGUGCGAGUGUCAUUCCCAUGCGAGAGAGAUCAUGGAAUUUGCAAGCCCAGACUCCUGGAAGGUUAACUUGCUGUUGUAGUCCAGACUUUUCGAAGCCCCAGGAAUUGCUUGCGCCAAGCGAAAUGGCCUACUUUCAGCCUCUUCCAGUUGAGAACGGCAGAAUGACCACAGAAGCUGCAGAAAGAAUAAGUGAAUAACCAUUUUGUCCUACAAUGCGCAAAAUUCCAAGCAAAAGAGUCUAUGCCAACUAUCCAAGGCUUAUAAGCACAAACAGAGAGGGUUUCAAGGCAUUAUGCAAGAAAUCUAGCAUUUUUUUCUAAAUUAAUAGAAGUUUCUGAUGAACCUGUAUUGGAUCAGUUCGGAGAAAAUUCCGCUGGACCCUACGUCCGUCAGGAAGACGGACUCCAACCCGGCAAAGGAGGCUCCUGUCACCCUUAGGUUCUUCGGGAAGAGGUGGGUAGGCAGGUAUCUUCCCUGUGAUUGUCUCCUCUUCCUUGCUGGUAUCAGUUUUGCCAUCUUCACCAUUUGUCUUAAUUGGCUCUUCUAUAUUUUCCAAGGAAGCUUCCAAUGCCGCCUGUAGUUCCUCGUCUUCUUCCUUGGGCAUUUCAUCUGCAUCAAUCCAGGCAUCUGAAAUUACAUACAUAAUGGCAAACAAUGCGCAUACAAGCAGAACACUCCACCAGACAAAGACAUACAGACAGGGCCACAGAUUUUUUAGUUCUUAUACCGUCUUUAAGAUACAGCACCAUAUAUCAGAACAGGAAUUCAACACAUUAUACAGAAAUAUGACAUACCCUUAACUUUCUGUGGAGGAGUCGCAGACUUUUCUCUAGGACGUUUAUGUGAUGAACUUACAUGAUGAUCCUUGGGGCCACCUUCCAGGAAGAGUAACAAAUUCUGCAGUAAAAAUUUACUUUCUGGAAUGAAUACCGCAACUACUAAAUGUCUAAGUGCUUGUAUACCCAAGUUAUAUGCUGCUACGACAUUAACAUUCAUUGUUUAUCUAAAUGCAAGUGUAUUGGGUAACACCUGCUGUGAUAGGUACCUCAAGCAAGCUCUCAGGCUGAAUCAUUCCAGUCCAAGACCGCAUCUUUUGGCCAGUGAUGGGGUCAAUAACAAGCACUACAGGGAUUGAAUCCAAUUUGUAAUAGGUACAGACCUUCUGGCCCUCACUUGUGUCGUCAUAUACCUAAUAUAAAAUAGAGUGAGCUGAGCAAUUUAUCAUUUGAUAUUAACUUCUGUUGGUCAUUAUAUAUGAACACACAUUGAAGAGAGUAAUCUCAAUGAUUAAUCUGAACUGAAAUUUAAGAUAAGAGAUCUCCAAUGUCCACUAUCAGCAAAGGCACUCCCAGCGAUUGUAAGUGAAAGGGAGCACAUUUGCAUAUGGCCUUAGAUUAUCAAAUUGCUUAAUUGGAAAAAAAGGGAGGAAAAUAAAGUGAAGGGAAUGAAAAUUCAAAGAGAAAGUACUUGCUUCACUUGUAGGUGGGAAGGGGAUUUAAAAUGGGACAAACUACAUUUGAAAAGUGAAAAUGGGACCUCAUUUCACUGUCAAAGACUGCCAAGUACUACAUCAUUCAUUGUAUGUUCAAACUAUUUUAAUGCCAUUCAUCACAAAGUGGUCAACAAGUAGAAUGGCUGGACCCCUACAUAUAUUCUCACUAAUCUGUCAACUUAUAAAGUGUGCCUGUGCUCUGAAAGACAAAUCCAUACUCUACAGUCUUACUUUCUUCAGACUAAGGCUCUGUUUGGCAUGUUGCCAAACAGUGACUGAUUCUGAUUUUUUGUUCCCAGAAUCAGUUUGGGACGAGAAUCGCGUUUGGUAAAAAUUUUGUUCUCGGGAACAAAUUUGUUUCGAGAAUCAAUUUUGGAGUAGAUUUGAGAAUAAAAAAAAAGUUGAUUCUGCGUCCGAAAAUCAAAAAAAGAAUCAACACAAUAAAACUCUUCUUCUUUCCUUCUGUCAUCCCGCGACCGUCGCCCGCCACCGCCCGCCGCCGUCCGCCGCCGGCCGCCGGUCCGGCGAGCUCGCCGGAGGCUCACCUGGCCCCGGCGAGGCCCGCCUGUCCACCGGUGACGCUCGGCGAGGCUGAGCGAGCCUCGCCCAACUGCCGGCGAGGCUCGGCCGACGAGGGCCAGCCUCGCUAAGGGCCGGCGAUGCUCUGGUGAGGUCGCCAGCCCUCGUCCGGCCGGUCGCCGAUCCGGCGACCGGCCACAAGAAGAAGAAGAAAAAUAGGAGAAAAAUGAAAAAAAGGAAAAAAAGAAAAGAAAAAAUGAAAAAAGAAAAGGAAAAAAGGUAAAAGAAAAAGAAAAAAAAAAGUACAAAAAAUAAUUUGGAAUAGAAUCAAUGAACACGUUAUCAAACACAAUUCUAUUCUAGAAUAAAAAAAUUUAGACAGUUACCAAACACGUUUUUUUACUCGGAAUCAGUUCCCGGGAACAGAAUAAAAAAUAAUCAUUUCUUGUCAGAAUCAGUUCCUGGGAACAGAAUCGUUGCCAAACGCGCCCUAAGAUUUUUCCCAAUAAUCUCCCAUUCCAGCAAACAAUGUGAACAGGCACAUUCCAAAAGAUAAUAUCUGACUCACUCAUUAAUCUACUGUCUUUUUGGCAUACAUCCAUCUACUGUCUACACAUACACAUAAACACACAAACCUGGACUCAAAUAAGGCAAAUGCCUUCAGGACGUCUCUAGUUUAUGCAAUCGUUUGAAGACCAGCUAACCAGGUCCUCCUACAACAAUAUGAUAAUCCCACUGAGGAAUGUGGACACAAAAGAAACUCUUUGAAAUGAGCAGGCCUUGCUACCAACAUAAGGACUCAGAUAGUGUUAUAGAAGCCAGCAACUCUAUGGCAUAACAAAGCACGAGCACAGAACUUGGAACGGCAUAAAAAGAGAUGAUCUGAAGAACGAGUGUGCACUAUUAUUUAAGCUAAAAAUAAUUUGAAGUACUCGUCAUUCAAAUAUCAAAUAAAUUGAUAAAGUUGGACCACUAUAAGAGAGAAUAAUAAAGACAUGGCCAGAAGCACACCUGCCAGAAGAUAAAAUUAGUGCUGAUAGUUUGGGAGACAGCUUCAUUUGCCCACGUAUCCCGAUUCAGCUUCAAAAGAAAAUAAACAAAAGCAUAUAAGAACCACCAUCCUCAAAGAUUCCAACAAGGAGACAAAGCAAUAAAGGAAAGGGGGGAGAGGGGGGAGAGAGAGAGUACACUACCAUAUGCGAGCUGAACUCCUUGGUAGACUGCAAGUUUACAAGAAGCCACUUGUCUUGUAGCGAAGCUGCCGUUUUAGCCUGUUAACAUUCAUAAAUAUUAAAAUCAAUUAAAUAAGAAACAGCAAAUGGCCAACAAAGACAAAAGUACCACCCAAUGCAACUACACAUCUCCCUACACGUGCUAACUUCAAAUCAUUGAUGAAAGGCAAAAUAACACUCAAUAUCCUCUAUAAUUUAUGCUUUUCAUUCCCUGCUUUUAGAAAUUACAGUUCCUAUUGUCAAGUUUACAUCUCCCGAACACUCUUUCGUCUCUCUGUCUCUCGCAUGCGCGCAUACAAAUAAUUAUAGUAAAUUCAAGGCAAAGGGAGAGUAGAUAAUUCCCUUUUUCAAAUAAUGAAAUAAUAACAAAGUUGUCUUGACAAUUUGUACUUCUACAAAAGAUGUGUGGUGUAACCAUAACAAUCUAUGAUGCGAACCACAACGUCUGCUAAAGAAAAGAAAUGAGAACCUUACAUUAGUUCGAUCUCCAAUCUACACUUAAGAUAGGAAUGAAUUUCAACUGGAGAAUGAGCUAUUCAUUCUCAAGGCAAACUGCUCUGCUCGAUACCCCCCUAGUUAUGUAAUAUAAUGUUAUAAAAAAGAAAGGAAAAAAAAACUGUGGGAGAGCUAAUUCCUCUCAGCACAUGCAUUCUCCUUAUCAGUUCAAGAUUAUUUAAGUUGUCUCCAAGACAGUGCUGAUCAUCGUCGGACUAAUGCUGAAAACUUCAGGUUGGAGAAAACAAAGGAAAAUAAUAAAAUUCACCUAAUCAUUAAAAAUCAAACAAAAAACGAGGAUGUAUUAAAUUUCCAGGGGAUAAAUCAUCAAACAUAUGAAUGCAAUGAUGCGAGAAUGUCCUCUUGAUGCACUUUAUGAUGAUAAAUAAUGUAAUGUUGAUUUAUUAUGCAGCUUCCUUAAAAAAAAAAAAAAUCACUUCGAGAAUUAAUAUUGGAGCUCACAUAAGCUGUCAAUUUUCGAUUCAAAUACCUACCAGCCACCACCUAUGCAAUAGUGAUCGGUCAAGCUCACCUGAGUGCAGGUGACUUCGCUGCCAAUCAGCUGUGGUGGCACUAAGCUCAUACAGUGGUACUCUCAUUCCAGAUUCCGUCAGUUCUUGAUUUAAAUACCAGCCACCGCCAAAGCCAUAGUGAUCAAUCAAGCUCACCCAAGUGCAAGCACUUCGCUGCCAAUCAAUUGGGGAGGUGAGACCACUGAGCUCAUGCGGUGGUUCUCUCUCUCUCUCUCUCUCUCUCUCUCUCUAAAAAUAGUGACCAGAACCCUCCUCUGCUUUUUUCCAGAGCUGAUUUCCUUCGGUUAAAUAAAUCUAGUGAAAAAAAAAAUUCUAUUUAAACCUCAAAUUUCUCACAUUCACUGGUCAGUUCACUUGUUUUUUUUGGUUCAAUUUGGACCGACCCCUAGAGAUGCUUAAUGUUAGUGCCCAAAGCACAAAGUCACUUAACCCAUCCCAAGCAGAGAAAACUUGUCCAAGCUGACCAGUUCAGGUGUGGUUUUGGGCCCUCCCGAUAUUUUCCUUAAUACCCAUUUUCACAGGUUAAUAUAAUACUACUAAAUAGACUUGAAACCUCAUGAUCUGGAACUCAGAUUCCCCUGCCAGGAAGAGUAAACCUAGUAUAAGAACAUGUUAUACCAGUUAAAACAUCACUAAUGGAAUUUUCAGCACACCAUGUCAUAAAGGUUUGCAUACUUAGUUGUUCAGAAAUAGCCACUGGACAAUUAUUCACUCAAGCCCCGCGUUGGCAAGUUGCAGAACAUCAUAACCAAAAGUAACUAACCAUGAUAUCCAUAAUUUCCAUUCAACCUCAUCAAAAUGCCAAAGCAUAUAAGGCAAUUUACCAGAAAGUUUGAUAUGUGCACACAAGGAAUUUCUUUUCAAAGACCAUUCAACAUGAAAAGAAAUGAGUACACUCCAGAUAGAGUAUGAAUUAACUGCCCGCAUAUAGUAAGAGUGAAUUCAGGCCAACUACCUUCUCAAAGGAUCCGCGAUACAUCAAGUGGAAAGGAGGACGAUACAGAGAGGCGAGAUUAUCACGAGCAUUUUCUGCAGUAGAUGUUGAACCUUGAUCUGAUUCCCACACCCCAGGGCGUUUCAUUUCCUCAUCAAAGUUCCUGAAUGCAAUUAGGGAACUUGACUCAUGUGACCCCAUCCCCAAUGCUCUGUAUGGUCAUUAAAUUUUGCCAAUUAGUAAUAGCACAUUUUAUCAUUCUCGCAGAACAGCCAACAGCUCCAGUAGAGCAACAAAGACAUCAACACUGAGGAGAGUAUACGUACGGAUAUGAUAUCGCAUCAUCAUAGAGGACCUCUCUCCUAACAGGUAAAGGAGGACGCACUUCAUCUUCAUCAUGCUGUCCAAUGUUUUCAUUACCAUUGUCAUUCCUUGAUACCCUGUGGAAACAGAUACAAAUCAGAAGAAGAAGAAGCUAAAGAGGCAACAACACGAUAAUUUACAGAAAACAUGGCAAAUACCCAGCAUUUUCAUCUGCACAAGCAGCAUUUCCACCAUCAACUGGGGGAGGGUUGGACUGUCCUCCAAUAACACCACCUUCAUUACCUACAUAAAAUAGUUGAAGGGCUUCCUCAAGCUUCCAACUUGUUGCCUGAUGAAAUGUACCUUAUGAGAAUUCCAACAAUCUCGAUUUUGCACAGAUAAAGCAUUGUACACAAAAAAAAUAAAAAAUUAAUAAAUAAAAUAUCCAAAAUAACAGCGAUAAAAGUGAAAUUCACUGCUGAUACAUAUAUCACCAGACAAUUGGAAGGCAAAUGACCAUAGAGAUAAGGACAGCCCUUUUUGUGUUAGACCCUUAAAUUUUAUGGAAUGGACAUGUGAAACCAACGAUACAACCACUGAAAUAAAGAGGGGAAAAGGACAGACAAAAUUAAGCGGAAGUCUUAGGGCCGGUGGUCGGCUACUGAAUAUCAAAAUUUGAAUGCAAUUCCACCCAAAAGCUUUAGAUAACUUAAAAUGCUCAUCUCUAACAUCGGUUAUAGACAAGAUCUAGCAUGCAGAAGACAGUAGACUCCUGAUGCAAUCAGCCUGCUUAUGCACGAGAACCAACCGAAGAACAAAGGUUGGACCAACACGAUAGCUUCAAUCAAGGGAAUUACGCAUCCACAUGAAGAUCCUGACUUCUUCCCUAGCUUCAUCAAUACAAGGCAUUGAAACCACAAAACCCAGUAUAAAGGUUGACUUUUUUUCUCACGAAUACACAAAUCGAUGGACAAACGACGCACUAUCAUAACAAGCACCAAACAACACCAAACACCCACGUAAACCAGCUACAGAUCAAGCGUCCGUAUCCGUCAUAAUCCCUAUAACCAUCAACAAUUAAUCAACCAUCCUACCGACAGUCCCAACUGAAAACCAAGAAAAAGAAACCGAAAAACGAUAACUUUUCCCCCCGUAUCUUUCCACGCGCAUCGAGCGAGGUCAGAGGCCACGCCUACACAAGUUAGCUCAGCCAUUUUCGCAAUGUAAGUAAGGUCUCCGCGCGAUCAAUGCACGCUAGAGAGAGAGAGAGAGAGAGAGAGAGGAAGAGACGGUGGGGGCACCUGCAGGAACUGGCGAGCGGUAUCGGCGGUCUGGCCGACGGCGAUCUCCAGGAAGGAGGAGAUCAUGCUCUGCUUCUCGGUCGGCGAAAGGAGGCUCUCCAUCGCCCCUGUCCCUGCUCCUCCCUCGUCCGCCGUCGCUCGAGCGGCGAAACCCUAGAUUGCUCCUCCUCCGAUGGCGGCGGCGGCGGGGCGGCGGGGGGGGGGAGGCGAUCCUCCGGACGGGAGCUCGGAUCAGAUUCAGAGGAGAGAGAGGCCGAGCUGAAUCCGAGCUUCCAUGGCUGGCGAACGGCGCGCGGAGAGAGAGAGAGAGAGAGACGGGGAAAGGAAGUGAAGGUGUGGGGGGGCCUCUCUCUCAGCAAGCAGUCGGUCGUACCUGGGUCGGGACGGGCUCUUCGGAUUUCUUGCUCCCCCCUUUCGACGGGGCCUGGCGAGGGAAUUGACGGUCUUAUCCUUGUCGCCGGGAUAUUCGGUCUUAUACUUGUCGCCGGGAUUGGCUCCUUAAUGGUGAUUUCGCGCGUGGCGAUCUUGGCAAUUUGGUUUGGUGACGAGGGUGUUAUGGGUACACACCGAUACGGGACGGAAAUUAAAGAUAAAAUGAAGAAAUGAAGCAAGCACCAUUAUUUUCUCGAAUAAUAAUAUCAAGUGAAUCUUUUAUUUUAAAAAAAUUUCCCAAAUGAUGACUUAAAAUGGACCUUGUUUCCUAAAAAAUAGCCUAACCUCGUCUUGAUCAGAGCAUUUCCAUCAUUUAACUUUUUAUUUUCUUUCCUCUUUUUUAUUUCCAAAAAAGGUUUUAAAAAAAAGCUAAAAUUUUAAGAAAACAUGAUAUAGGCGGAGGGCCACCAACCCUCCCCCACCUAUGGGCUAUGGCCACUAUCCCAUCACUGGUGGCGCGUCAGCGACCCCACUGGCCACGGGCAGGGGGUUUGGGCUCAACCCUCCUGUUUUUUUCUCUCUUUUUUCCCUUUUUCUUAUUUGUGUUUUCAUUUUUUUAAGUUUAAUUUUUUUCUUUUUUGAGUUUGUUUAUUUAAGGAAAUAAACAAAAAUUGAAAAAGGGAAAAAGUAAAUGAUGAAAAUGCCUUCGAUUAGUUGAUAAGGUUAGAUCGUUUUUUGAGACUAACAUAAUACUUUAGGCUUUUAUUUGAAAUAAUGUUUGCUACAGACUCUUAAUUGAGAAAAUAUCGGCACUUUGGACCUUUAUUUGGAUUUUUUCCAAAAUUAAAUGUUGAGAAUUUUGUUGGGGGAGGGGGACAAAUUACAAUUAAUUCAUUUGUUUCGUGAAAAAUAAAUUACUAAUAAUGAUGGUUGGUUCUAGUUGAAAUAAUUAGUUAAUGAAUAAUAUUUUCAUUGAUCACGAAAAUAUUUACACAUAAAUUGCUAUCUAUAAUGAAAAUAUUUUUUAUUUAUUCAUUUUUGUAAGUGAUUUAUCUAGUGAUUUUUUAUAAAAUAUUUUUUAGUGUUUUUUAUUGGAAAUUUAAUUAUUUUGAAAUAUUUUUCUUAAAAAUUAUUGCAUGUAUCGCUUACAAAAAUGAAUAAACAAAAUAUAUUGUCAUCGUCUACAACAACGUUUACAUUCAAUUAUUGUCAAUCAUGAAAGUAUUUUUUAUUAAUUAAUUAUUUCAAGCCAUUCAAUUAUUCAUUUUUCACGAAAACAAAUGGAAGAUAUCCCAAAACUAAAUAAAUGAAAAUCAUUGACUUUCAGUGCACUCUCUUGUGUCAUGUGUGAAACGUGUAUUGAAAAUUAAUUAUCUCUUAACAAAAUCUUUAGAGAUAUAAUUAGUAGCAUACAUGCCAUAUUUAAAUGGGACAAUGGGCUGUGCCAAUCUUAACACGAUUAGACACGGUCCAUUAGGUAGAAGGUUGAACCCUACAUAGCUACAAUUGUAUUGGGUUCUAACCUAAUUAGGCACGGUUAUUUUAAGGUGCGAAUGGUAACGCUUCUUGGCUGGGGAAAUUUUUUUUUUUUUUUCAGAAAUAGUUAUUUUCUAUUUUUAUUCCAGGAAACAAUUUCUGAGUAAAAGAACCCAUUUGGUAACUACACAAAAUUUAUACUCUUAGAAUAGAAAAAAUAGAAAUGCGUUUGGUAACGCAACAAUUUCUCUUUUAUAUUUAUUCGUUUUUUAUUCUUGUUCACGGAUUGCUGCCACCGUCAUCGGUCGCUGCCACUGUCGCCGCUGCACGUCCGCCGGCCACCGUUACCGCUGCCGCCCAGCCCAUCGGCCGCCAACGACCGGCGGCAGCGGCGGCUGAUGGCAAGGGCCGAUGGGCGAGGGCGGUGGUCGGCGGCAGCAACAAGAGAUGAAUAAAAAAAACAAGAUUUACUUAUUUCUGAAACUUAUUCCUGGGAACAAGAAGCAAUUUUUAUUUUUAUUUUUCAUUUCUAUUCCAAAACCAUUCCCGAGCUAACUUUUUGUUCCCAGGAACAAAAAACUAACUUGCCGUUAUCAAACAGGUUUAUAUUUUUUUUUUGUUCAAGGGAAAAAAAGAAUAUAAAUUUUUGGGCUAGGGAAUGUUACCAUCUGCAACCUUAAUAGCUUUGCAUUUUAUUUAGUAAGGAAAAUGAAUUACUUUUUUGAUGACACGGCCUGACAUAAUGUUUUUGGGCAAUUAAUAAGAAAAAAAGAGAGGAUAGGUAAGACAUAUUUUGCAUUUAUGAAAUAAAUUUUACUUAACAUUUCAACAUAUUGGAAAACUACGAACUAAAAUCACAAAUGAAACAAGAAAGUUGCCAUGUAAUUUAGUUUUAUGUAGCUAUUGCACUUUUGUUUUUCGGAUAUCCCAUCACAUCUAUAUAACAAGAGUGAAACGUUAUUUAGAAAUGAAUUCUACCCUCUUUUUAUUUUUAUUUUUAAUGGUGGUUUAGGUAUCAUUAGUUAUUGGAUUAAUAUCAUGAAGAACAAAAAAUCGAUAUCAUGACAAAUUUAUUUCAAAUUAAUUUUCUGAUCAUAAAAUAUUAAAAAAUUGUACAUUUAUCACAAAUUGUACUGUCGUUAGUUUACGUUAAAUUUCAUUAUCAAAUCGUCAAGUUAAAUGACAUUUGACAAUUAAUGGAUAUACCGUAUUGGAGUUUAUAGGUGCUUUGUUUUGAUAUCGAUCCGAAUCUAACAGAAGGUAAAUAUGUCACAAAUGUACAAGUUUUAGGUUUUUUAUUUAAAUUUGUUGUUAGUAAUAAAAAAAUUAAAUUAGAAUAAAUUGAUCACAUAAUUUUUCGCGGCAUUGACCUUUAGUUAUAAUAUUCCAGGUCUAUCAUAUAAACUAUUUAUCUUCCUUAAAUUAAUUGAUCUAAAAAACAUAUAGAGAAAGAAUAAUACCCAAGUACUGUCAAUUAAUCUUGCUGAGUAGAAGAACAGUACACGCCGAGUCAAAGCUACAAAUUCACGCCGGCUUGGGAUUUGGUGCGGACGUCGGAAUCAGGCUUGGAAGCUCGUUUCGGCACUCCGAAACCUCAGGUACGGUCUCAGGCUUGGAACUCUCUUUCUCUCUCUCUCUCUCUCUUUCAAAUAGCAGAAGCGAACGAGCGGCAACGAAGCUCAACGUUCGCCGGCAACUGAAAUCCGAUCGGACGAGAAACCGAAUCUCUUCGAUGCCGGCUAUGGCUUUUGAGCUGAUUCCGCCGCCGUUGCCUCUCUUCUUUGCAGUCGCCGGAGCCCGGGCUGCCGGUGGUGGGGAGGGGUUAGGGUUCCGUCGGGCGGAAGUGAAGCGGAGGAGAUGGGGAGCAGGGUUCCGGUGGAGCACUACGAUCUGAGGGCCGCGAGUUCCUUCGUCGGGGCCUCUUCGCUCCACGACCUCAACACCGUCGACGACAUCGGCGGCGUCGGCCGGGACGCGGUGACCGAGGAUAGCUUGGACAACGACGACGAUUCCGCUGCCGUUGUGAGCUAGUCAUCUGUAUAGCUGAUGCCUGUGUUCUGACUGAUUGUUGGGGGCGAGCGCGAGGAAUUCCCUUUUUUUUUUAUGAAGGAAUGCGUGCUUGCAGGAAUGUAUACAUGAUUCGUACCGGGCUUCUUUGCCGAUUCAUGGCGUUGGAGCUGAAGAUGAUCGCUCGGGCCUGGAGGAAGUUGGUCCGUCGAGGAGUUCUUACGACGUCUUGACCAUCGAAGGUGAUUUGUUUGUUUAUCUGUUCUGCGAUCAGUUUUGCGGUGCAGUUAGGAAGGAUUUAGAUGUUGCUUUCUAAUAUUAUCAGUCGGGUGGAGUGAUUUUUGGACUGAGCGAAUUGUUGGUUGAAUGUUGGACUAGAUGUUGUACCUAUUGAAUCCUCGCGGGCGAGAUUUCUGCAGAUUAUUGUGGAUCAUUUCAUCAGUGAGCACGUGGUUGAAGUAUCUGAUCCCGAGCCUGACUACUCUGCUCAAUCUGGGCAAGGCCAGCUGAACAAAAGGAAGUCAAGAGAAGUCCAAUAUGAGGGUGACGCCUGUUUUGCAUUGCCUCUGAUGUACGUGGCGAAUAUGUACGAGACUUUAGUUAGCGAUGUAAAUGUAAGGCUUAGUUCAUUGAAUGGUAUCCGUGAGAAGACUAUUGGAGUAGCUCUCGAAGCAGCUGGUGGUUUAUACAGGAGGCUGGCUAAAAAAUUUCCUAAAAAAGGUAUUAUCUUUUUAAACAGAUGAUAAUGGUUUGAUUUCAUCUGCAGAGGAUUAUUUAUCAGCUGUCCCUUGGAUAGAUUUGGCUGAAGUCUGUAUUUGUGACUUAUUGUGAAGUGAGACAGUCGUUUUGUUUUACAAUGGUAGAGUGGCAUGUUAUUCACUUACCAGGUCAUUACUUGGGGUGUAACCGACCUGAGUCAGGGCUGCACAGUGGCUGGCUUGAGCCCAACUUGAUUCAUAUGCCUGGUGGUGGAAUCUUUACUUGAGCUCAGUCGAGUACUGUACUUGUUUGAGCCUAACAUGACAAGGAAGUUGAAAUGCUUCAGCUUGACCCGGUCCAACUUGAUUUUACAAGCAAAAUUUAAAUUUUGUAAGAUUGACCAUGGAAAAUUACCUGCAAUUAAAUUUGCACUAAAUAAAAUAGGUCUAAAUCAUUCUUUUAAGAUGUGAGAUAACCUAAAGGGACAUGCCUGUGGCCCUAAGAAUCUUAUUUCCACAGAAAAUUAUGGUUUUGAUCGGGGAAAAGCUUUCUAGUGAGACAAUGGAACUAGCCCUAAUCAUUAUAAGGCACCAAUGAACAAUAAAACGGACACAAAAGUGAAGGUCUACGUGUUUUGUUUCAAUGAAUAGAAGGCUUGGUGGCUCUUUUAUUGUAAUUAGCACUUAAACUAAUCCCUUUCAUCUUCAACAAUCUGUCAAACAGGGUAGAGGCUGGUCACAUAUGUGUGUGUGAGAGAGGGGGGGGGGGGGGGAGAUCAUAUCAUAGCUAGGGUGCCAUUAAUCAGUAAAGGGAGUUGCAGGACGAGAUGAAAGAGAGAAAAUGGACACUGGGUUUCUUUUGGAAAAGAGUGCGAUUCAAACAAUAAAAGGGGUAUGCUGGUCAUGCCACUUCAGGGAGUUCCUGAUUAAUCAUUUGAACACAACAUGUGAAAAAUAUAUUGGAAAAUUUAAUUAUGGUUGUGUGCUGAUUGAGUCAAGUAUCUAGACUCGAUAAGCGACUCAAGUUCCUUGAGCUCCGUUUGAGCUAAAAGGAUGAAGUCAACUUCAGUAUACACAAAUCAAGCUUGAUAGCUCCAGAUGACUUGGCUUUCCCUAGUUAUAAUUAUGGUAUUGUGAAAGAAGAUAUUUAAUUGCUGAUAAUCACCUAUGUUUGUGCGUUGGCAUCACACCUAUGUACAAAAACAAUCUUGUUUGUACGUUUGAAUCUUAGUUGUUAUUGCUUUCAUAAUGGACAGGUCCUUACACAUUUAGGAGAAGAGAGUUGGCUACUUCUGCUGAAACACGAACAAAAUUUCCUGAAUUAGUGAUACAGGAAGAGAAGCGAGUUCGCUUUGUAGUAGUUAAUGGUUUGGACAUUGUUGAGAAACCAGAUUGUAUGUCAAUUGACGAUGCUGAAUGGUAAGCUGCAUCCUAAUUGACCUUACUAGUAUAAUAUAAAGUUUUUUGUUCCAUUAUAGUCUUCUAUCUCUUUAUAGACAUUUCAAUGCACUGAGCUAACUAUGCUUUGUUUAUAGCCUUCUUCUUGUCCUCUUUCAGCAUUAUUCCAAGUUUUCUACCUCUCUUGUGUUAUGUAAGGGAACUGGUUGAUAAACCACAUGAUAUUUAAGAAUGAAAACUUAAUAUUUCUACAGAAAAUGAUUAAUUAUUAAUAUAUCUACAAAUGAGAAGAAAUAGAAACUUCAUAUAGUGUCGUAUCACAUAUGCAUACUUCUUUGAUAUUUUUCAUUUCACAUGUAUAAAUUAAGCAAUAAAAAUUUAUUAGUUAUGAUUUUUAUGCUUGAAAGAUAGCAGGUUUUUGUCAACAUGUUCAUCUGAAUUUCAGUGCUGUAAAAUAAUUUUCUUUUCUAACAAUAUGAAGCUUAUGAACUUGGAGUGUUGGACCUUCAGUCUUAGCCUUUGUAAGGGGUGCCUUUGCAUUUAGAACUAAGAAGAAGUUUAGUGUUUACUAUUCUUGCAUUGUAACUGGAGAUGACCCAUUCUAGUAUGAGUCAUGGCCUUAAUCAAACAUGCUCUUACAGUUAAUGAUAGUGAGAUUUGAGCAGUAAAUUAACAUAUUGAAUAUGUCAACAGGAUAUUCAUCUGUUAUUAGAAACGAACAGAAUUGUGCCAAAUAAAAGUCAUCAAAUUUUCAUAUGCUUAUAUGGCGGAAAUAGAACUCUUCUCUAUGCAUCUGCUUUGUAUUACAUGUUGGCAGAUGGCAUUUUAACAUUGAUUUUUUCUUAUUUAUUCUACCAUCUAGACUCUUCCUUAUGCGAAGCAUGAUAAUUUCUUGAGCCACCUUCAUGCACUACCAGUCAUAAAUUUUCAAAUAUGUUAGCACCUUUUCCUUUGAUACCCAGAAAUCUUGCUAUUUUUGUAAUGAACUGGCCUUCUUCUUUUUGUGUUCCAGCACCUUCUUUACAGUCUAUUGAUAUUUUUCCCAGUUACUUGGAGUGUGCUACUUAUGUUCUCCCCCCUUAUUGACCUUUUUCUUUUUUCCAGGUUUAAACGGUUGACUGGUCGAAAUGAAGUUGCUAUCUCUCCUCGUGACUAUAAAUUUUAUUCACCAAGACACAAGUAUAGGCGCAUUGUGUCCAAUUCCGUAUCUAAUAUUUCUGCUCUGCCUGUAAGCCUUAUGACUCAUGAAAAGCUCUUUGAGAGAACAAGCAUUGUACAGUUUGAUUUGCUAUGCAUUCCAGGCGAUAAUAAGGACCAAAUGACAUGCCCGGCCUAAAAACACAUAAGAUUAAUGACUGGACUUAUUUGAUAGCAUUACAUUGAAAUCAUGUUUCCCUUUGUCUUUCCUACAUUUCCUCGUCAUUGCUGUGCAUCUGGGCUUGUAUAUUUGUGUAGCUGCAGUUGCACAUAUAUUAUGUGCAUGUUUUUUUGUGCUGUUUUUUGUUGUUUGAUUGGUUUGAAGAUUGAGCUACUUUAAUUGCUGAUCUUCUGUUUCAGCCAUAUCAUGGAAGAGAUUCCUCAGCCUUGUCCCCUGCUGAAGAAGGGUAUCGCUCCAUCAGUGAAGUAAGGUUUUCUUUCUUUCUCUGCAUGUUUGAUUGACAUUGUUUUCAAUCACUGCGAUUCACUAUGUAGCAUGCUUAUCUUCUUUUCCGUUGGCAGCAUCUGGUUUAAUGCUGGACUAUUCAAAAUAGUGAAGUUCUUUCUCAAGGUGCUUUUGUCAAAGCAUUGUAUUUUGAAGUUAUUACCUAUUGAUCGUGUCUAAGUUCUGAGACUAGAGAGGAUCUAGUUUAGACAUAUCUGCUGUCGCACGCGCGCGUUGUUCAGAAUAUUUCCCAGAAGCAAAUCCUGAUAGUUUUCUUUCGAAGAAAUAAUUCUGAUUUGAAAGCUGGUAAGAGUAAGGAUCCUUGCAGUACUCUUGUCAAAGGCAUGCUUGUUACAAAUGUUCUCAGAACUCAUGCAGUUAAAUUGUGUGCGGAUGUCUGAAUUUGCUGCAGUUUAUCUUGUCAAUUGCAGCCACACCAGUAAAUGUUGCCCUCUGGCAGCUGAGUGUGAUGUAGAAGCUCAUGCUUUCCUGAUUAUAAAUUGUUUUCCAUUUUUGGGAAGUUGGUUGAUUAUAUCCUACUCUGCAGCCACAGGGUCAGCAGUCGACUUCGAAGCAUGAUAUGCAGCCAAUGUCACAUCAGCCCCAGUUUCACCCUAUCCACCAGAGUCAUCAUCAACCAAUUCACCAGAGUCAACAUACAUCUCAUUUUCCUCCCACCCAUCAUUGUGGCUCAUCUUCUAAUUUGCCUGAUUUGGCCCAUUCUCACCAUUCGUCACCCAUAUCACAACAUAUGGCAUGCUUACAACCCCUCAGUGGAGGCCAUGUAGGAGGGCGCUUGCACAUAAUGGUGAGAAUCAGGAACUUAUUUUCUAUGGUUUGUAUAAGGAUCCUAAGGUUUUUGCUGUCAGUUUGCUCAUCCGCUAUAAGUCUAAGACUAAGGGAUUGCAGAGAAUUAUAUCAGUGCACACAAUUCUUCUAAAAACAAAAUGAAGAAGUAUGCACAAUUGCGUCUUGUAGAGAUAAAAUAUAUGUUCGUAAUUUACUAUUAGUACUACUGUGUUCCUUCAUUGAAAUUUUUUUUUUUGGGCAAAUAUGGUUUAUUGACUGAUUACUUUUAUGGUUUUACUUAUGUCUUAUAUGGUUUUUUAUUCUGGCUUUCCCCCGAAUGAACUUGGUGGGUUACUCUCUGGUUGUUUGACAUAUGUUCGUGAUUUCAACUGUUUGUUUAAUAUGUUUUACAAGCAGGCACCUUCCCCUGCAAAAUUCUGUGAUGAAUGUGGGGCCCCAUAUUUGAGAGAAACCUCGAAAUUUUGCUCGGAGUGUGGCGCUAAGAGAUUGGGAACAUAACACCAACAUCAUGUCCUCCCUGGCCCUGUAAUAUUGGUGAGCACAGAUUGUAUAUUUAUUUGCUGAGCACAUCGAUAUCUUAUUUGUUACCCAGGCAUUGGAGAAAGUCUGUCAGUCUCUCAUGUAUUGACCAACAAAUAUGCGGUAGGAGAAUUGGACUGGUCAUCUGGCUUCGGCCAUGGUUGAAGGCUAUAUAUGCUGCAGAAGAGUGCAGAAAAUGGCUUUUGUUGUAUAUUAGAUUGGCAUUGUGGUGGUUCUUUUCCUUUAAUCAAACAGGGAAAAGCCAUGGAUCCUGCGAAGUUCAUCCAUCUCCUGGGUUUUAAGAUUGUUAUGAGCUUCUUGCGACACGUACUGGUUGUAAAAAAUAGAUCGUAGAACAAUUAGUGAUUGUUGUCCCUUCUCUGAGUAAGAAGAGUAGCUUGUAAAUUCUGAGUUAUAAAUGGGAAAUCUAGGCGAUUGGAGUAUGUGUAGGAAUGCAGAUGGGUCUUGAGUUUGAUGGCAGAAUGCAUUACGAUGCUCGACCAAGCUGCCAUGCCAAUGCCAAACCUGAGGAAAAAGGGACAUGCAUAGCAAACCUUAACAUUGUGUUUGUAAAAAUAUGGAAAUUCGUUUUCCCGACAUGCUUUUAAAAUGCAUGUGGCAGCUACACGUCCUUUUGAAUUGGAGAAGGAAAGGAGGAAAUUGCGUCUUAGGCCGCAGACACACACUUAAAAGAGAAGUGCACGUGCUAUUGGAAAAGUCUGUGAGCUAGUGUUAGCAGAGACUCCGGGAAACCAAGACAUUUUCAUUUCAAUGAAUUAAGGCAGAUUACUUGCAGGGGAAAAAAAAUAUACACAAUAGGAAUCUUAACAUGAAAAGAUCUCCUCAAAUGUUUUGUUUGAGAACGACUUUUUUUAACCUAUUAGCUGUAUCUUUUUCAUGUACUUGGUUUAGAUUUUGACUUACAGCAAACAAGACAUGCGAUGGCUCGGUGCGAUCAUGUCAAAGUCACGACCCCCUCUCGAGAAGGUUGCCGUCCUUGGGCAAAAAAAGACGAUCAUUGCGCAGUGGUUGUGCAGCUCUGAGAUGGCACAUGCGUAUGUCCAACGUCUUAUUAUUAUCCACAAGGCAAGAGUUAAAAGACCAUAACCAAUCUACACAAUCGAAUCACGCAACUCAUCCGAUAGGACGAUUCGGGGUCGACAACAUUCCAAGUCGGUAUGAAAUACCUUCUUUCAAUUUCGACCGACAGCGCUAAAGUCCGACAACCAAUCAUCAAAUCCGAAUAGCCGUUGCCUCCCACAUUCCUUAGUCAAAUCCCGUCCGUGGGAUCUAGAUCAAUCACCCCUCGGGCUCAAUUGGGUUCUCGACACGUGGCAAUCUCAAUCCCGGGGGUCGUCGUCUACUUUGACUCUUUGACGUUUCGUGGAGCAGCCUCUAAGAGGGGCCACGAGUUUUCAGUGGGGGGAAAUGGGGGACUCUAAAUAGCGCAUGGAAAAUCCGACACCAAGUAAAAUAUAAGGUCAACACUCCUUAAUUUAAUAAUUAUCAUUUUCCAACAUUGGUUGCUGGUCAUCUUUAAACAAGCAAUCACCACCAUAAUCCACAAUUAAAUUAACACGAGCACUAACUUUUUAACAUUCUUUUCACGACGAACCUUUUUUGGAGUCUAAUUUACCAAUUGCUUUGGAGGGUGGCGUGCAAAUUGCUUGUCUCAUCUAAAUUAACUUAAUUAAUUUAUUAUUUUCUUUCUUUUUCGCACGGCAAAAGUCGAUAGAUUCGUGCCUUACUUCGACACGCUUCUAGGACUAGUUGGUCUCACCCCAUUCGUGUUGCUUUACCAAUUUAUAUAGUUUAUCUAUUUAUUUAUUUUCAAAGGGGGGGAAAGGCAUGCACAUUCGACAGGACAAUGGCUGCCACUACGAUAAUGGAUCUCUUAUCUUAAUAUUGUUUUUAGGCGCUGGAAAAUGUUUCUUAUUUUAUCACCUAACUUUGAUAGCUCUUUGUUCAUUUUAUUUUCUCCUUGAUAGGUCCUCACAAAAUUUGUCAGGUGUCACGAGUUUAUUGGGAGAAUCUGAAGCGCGUUCCUCUCUGGCCGGAAACGUACGGCUACGUUAAUUUCACUUUUGCACAUUAAUUAGUGCGAUGCCAUUGGGUUUAGCUUAAUCAGCGGUCCCCACUUUUUCAGCAGUCCGUGGACCUUAUGGCUUAUUGAACAAAUCACAAAUGGAGCAAAAAGAAAAGGGCAGCUUCUUUUUUGUAAAGCAUGCGUCUUUCUUGGCUUGGUGGCUGAUUCACCUGGUGUUUCUUAAUUUUGUUAAAAGUAGGUCGAUAGAAGUUUCAUGUCUUGCAUCAAGAAAGCGACCUUAGGGCUGGCAAUAGCCCCUGUGAUUGCUUGGUGAGUAAGAAUGCGUCUUUCUCAUUUAUAACGUGAAUUCGAAUCACCAUACUAUGAAUAUUAAGCUUAGGGUCAUUGUCAAGAGCACGAUUAUGUAUGCUCCCUCAGUUACAGGAUACGAGUGGAAAUAAAGAAACUAACGAAAUUCAUUAGAGAUUAAUAAAGAGCUCGAAAAGAGGAAUCAGAUCUCUUGUUAAAAAGAAUUAGACAAAAGAAAAGUAAAAAAUAAUAGAGGUUGCGUGCGUACAUCUUAGGGCUACUUUGGAAAAUUAUUAGGGGCAAUUAUGAUUGGCCCGAACCAAGGCGGUGGCAAGAUCAUCGGCACAAAAGAUAUGCCACAGGAGAAUUAAGUAUUUAGGGUUAGAAAAGGUAUUCUAAUAUGAGAAAGCAAGAAGAUAGGUUUGAGCAGCUGUUCUAUAAGCUUCUUGCGACAUUUAUAUGGAUUGAUCCAUGUACCCGAAACUUGAUGAUUAUCUCGCAUUGGAAGAAAAAAGAGAAUUCUAACUCAAUUAGUCAUCAAAAGAGAAUAAACUAUCGAGAAAUCAUACCAAGAGCUAGAAAUUUGGCAUCAAUUUUGGAUGAGGCUCCAAUCCCUUUCCAAUUGCUUUCUUCCCAUGUUCUUUGCAUUGCUUUCUCUCUUUCCUAAACGGGGUUCGAAGGUUUAGAGACAUCAGAAAGAGACCUUAUUAUUUCCUAACUAUCGCUUACCAAUCAAACAAUAAAUCAGCGACCCAUAUACUUUUGGGAAAGGUUUUGUUGCAGUAGGGCUACAACAUUAAUGCUUUUGUUAGAAUAUGUGAUUGUUAUUCACGUUAGUUUUGAUCAUCCAAAAGUAACCAAUCUAAACACCACUUUAAAGAACCUAAAAUUGAUUUUCCGUCUAGGGGUCAUCCAUUUGUUUCCUCUCUCGUCUUCCAUUUCCUUGAUCUCUUCAAACCCAUGCAAACUCUAAUCUUGAUCUCUUCAAACACAUGCAAACCCUAAUCUCUCUCUCUCUCUCUCGACUAGGGAUGGAGCUCCAUGCUGUGGCAGAGACGAACCCAGAUCUGUCACAUUGAGCUCCUAGAUCAGCCAUCGAGGUAUCGUUGAUACUGUAGAGAGAGAGAGAGAGAGAGAGAGAGAGAGAGAGAGAGAGAGAGAGAGAGAGAGAGAGAGAGUUUGUCUUUUGUUUUGGUAAUUGUUAUUUACGAGUAAAUAAUUAUGCUAAUAACCCGCGCAUAAAAAAUUAUAGUUUGGAUGAUACUAUCACUCUUCAUUCAAAGUGCAUCCAUCUUUUUGUCGCAAAUUAUUAAAGAUAUUCCUAUAAUUAAAUUCAUCCUCUUUUAACUAGAAAUUUUCAUGACCUGAGAAAGGAAAUUAUUAUAUCACUCCCACAUAGUUAUUGAAUGAUGACUAGAUCGUCGUAAUGUCAUUUCAAUUUUGCUUGUGAACUCAUUUCACCAGUCUAAUUUACUCUAUCAUAACCCAAACGAUGUGGUGUUCAUUAUCAUCAUAUAGUUUAAAUUUUUUAUUAGAAUAGACUGUUGCAUGCUCAGCAUUAGAAUUAAUAACUCGUCCUCAUAUCGAAUGCGGUGGAACUUUGCAGAACUUUGCCUUUGUAUAUGUACAAUUUUCAUUGCCAUUCAGUAGGAAGUUGCUAAAGGCAAGCCUAAUAAAGGGUAAUUCCUCAAAUUAUCAUUCAAUUUUUUAUUAUUUCAUCACCGACGAUCGAACACCACCCAUGAAUUGUGUGAUAGGGACGUCCUUCAUGAAAGGUCUUUUAUAAACACAAGGGUCUUCUACAAAUACAAACCGAAAGGUCACUGCCUCUUGUAGCCAGUGGCAUCGAAAGUUAGGAGGAAAAGUAUGGAGUGGAAAGUUGAUGUGAACCGAUCCACUCCCGAUCGCACCUGAAUAAAAAUUCCUACAAGAAGAAGUCCCUCCUUUUCUAAGUCUUUAAUCUUUUUAGUAUUAAUAAAUUCGAUAGAGAAAAAGGUCCAUAUAAUUACAAUAAAAGGAGGCCAAGUGCUCUAGCUAUCGGCUGAAAGCAACCCAAUAAAUAAAUUCAGAUUAGGAGGCUAAGGAGAUGUGCUGCGGGAUCUUUCCUAGGGCUAAAGUCUACUACCUCCAUACAUAAUCUUGCCUAAGCUAAUAAGAUCAAGGUUUUGGUUUCUCUAGUUGCUUUAUCUUGAUCCAUAAUAGACUUUUGAUGUGAUUGAUAAGGCAUUAUCUCCUGAAUUCUAUGUGGCAAACCGUGAUUCGAUUAUACGUGCCACCUAUAAGUAUAAAUAUCAUUUCUAGCAAAAGUAAUGCUAGAAUUUAGAUGUACAAAUAUAUAUAAAAAAAAGUCCUAAUCUAUCGUACUUGUACUGAUUUAGUUUUAAACCUUUUAAUUAUGCUAAUUUAAUUCUAAUCUAUUUUAGUUAUGCCAAUUGAAUCUAUCUAUCCAAUUUAGAUCGGAAAUUAUUGACAUGGACGUCAGUAGUGUUGGGGAAAUGUAAGUUCCUUUGACCUAAAGCUCCUAGGAGAAAUGAAAAUUCCAUUUAGUAAAAAUUCCUUUGUAAAGUUACGUUGACCUAAGUAGUCAUUUUUUCUUUUUUGCAAAGGUAUUUGGGUUUAAUUUUUCUUUUUUAUUAAAAAAAUCAAAUCCUUUGCCGACUCUGUUGCCCAAGGUCAUGCAACCAUUGGCAACCCAGGUAGCCGUCAUGUGCCCUCGCCGACUAGCCUUGUCACGCUGGCUGCCCUCGCUUAAAGAAGAUGAACAAUAAUCAAGGGCAAAAUCGAAGAAUAAAAGAAUUGAUAAGUGUAGUUUUGGAAAAAAGAAAACUAAUUUUAGUAUUUGGCCCAAAUGUUGAAAGCCCAAUGUUAGUCCCUACUAAUAUUGGGUUUUUAGCUUUCUUAAGGUCAGCAUUUAGUUAAAGGUUUUUGAAGGUCAAAAGUCUAUUGAGAAAGUUGAAUCAAACACACUUUAAAUUAGCAUAAUUGAAAGGUUUUGUACUAAAUUGGCAUAAGUGUAUUAAGUUUAUGACUUUUUUUUUAUACAUUUUCUGAAUUUAGAUGCAUGUAUUGUGUGGUUCACGAUAAAUUGUGGAAUGGUUCUUCCAUGUGCUAAUUACAAAGUAAAUUCAUUCGGUGAAACAAUGAAUAGAUGAUUGAAGCACAUUAGAUUAGGGGUUGUUUGGUAACAUGUCAAACAGUAUCCGAUUCUUAUUUUUUGUUCCCGGGAGUAGUUUUGGAACAUAACCGCGUUUCGUAAAAUUUUUGUUCUCGAGAACAGAUUUGGAGUGGAAUCAAGAAUAAAAAAAAGUUGAUUCUUGUUCCAGGAACAAAUUUGAGAAUCAAAACCAACUCUUCUUUUUCUUUUUCUUCUUCCCUUUCACCAUCUCGUGACUGCCGUUCGUCGCUGUCCGCCGCUGUUCGUCAGUUUGGCGAGGCUUGCCUUGCCGGUGGCUAGGCGGGCCUCGCCCAGCCCUGCCGGUGGCCAGGCGGGCCUCACCCAACCCCGGCGAGACCCGUCUGGCCACCGGUGAGGUUGAGCCUCGCCGGAGUUGGGCAAGCCUCGCAUUGCCUAACCUCGCUGGUGGCCAGGUAGGCCUCGCUCAGCCGACGAGGGUCGGCCUCGCUCAGCCGACGAGGGUCGGCCUCGUCGAGGGCUGGCGACGCUCUGGUGAGGUCGCCGGCCCUCGUCUAGUCGGUUGCCGAUUUGGCAACCGGCCACAAGAAGAAGAAGAAGAAGAAGAAUAGGAGAAAAAGGAAAAAAAUAAAAGAAAAAAAAGUAAAAGAUUUAUUUAAAAAUUAAAAGAAAUUGAUUUGGAACAGGAUUAAUGAGCACGGUACCAAACGCAAUUCUAUUACAGAAUAAGAAAUUUUGGACAGUUACUAAACGGCUUAAAAUGCUUAGAAUAUGUUCCCAAGAACAAAAUAAAAAAGAAUUAUUUCUAAUCAGAAUCUACUUUCAGGAAUAGAAUCAUUACCAAACACGCCCUAGAUGAUUAUUAAAGUACACUUUAGGAUGGAUUUAGGCAGGGACAAAUCCAAAAAUCUUUUCGGGGGGUUGGGGGGACUUCACACUUGAUGAUAUCUUUGAUGAUAUCUUUUUAAAAAUCCUAUUGGCAAAUUGAAAGAGUUAAUUAUAUAUUUUUAUUAAUCUAGAUAAAUACUUUAGGGCCUUUUGUAUUUAAAAAGAUGGGUUUUAUGUGCAAUAACAAAUAAAAUUUGUUUGUAAACUAAUUAUUUCUUGAGAGCUACGGUUGACUAAAAUGAUUCCUAACAAAAAUUAAGGAAAAAAGAAUUGAGCAAAAGUAGCUUCUCUUGCAGAAGAUUUUCGGUACUCUUUGAGUGGCCGGUGGGGUGGGUGGGGGAAUGAAAUAUUCAAAAGCGUAGAAUAUAUUAGCAGGUCAUAUAAAAGUAAAUGGUUAAUAUUAUGAAAAACUUAGUAUAUUUAUGAUAAAUUUAUUCUAAACUAAUUUUUUGACUAUCAAAAAAUCUAAAUUGAUACAUUUGUGAUAAAUUUACUUUCUAUUAACUUCUGUCAAAUUUUAUCUUUGAAGUUGUUGACAUGAAUGACACAUGACAUGGCAAGUUCACGUGAAAAUCUAUAGGGUUAAGACCACUAAAAAUCCCAAAUUUUUCAGAGAUGUAUCGUUAAAUUUAUCACAUGAGUACCAUUAAAUUUGUCACAAGUGUGCAAAUUUGAGAUUUUUCGUGAUAAUCACCCUAUGGAUUUCUAGGUGGACUUGCCACGUCAUCAUGUGUCAUUUGGGUCUGCAAGUUUAACGAUAAAAUUUGACGAAAACUAAGGAUAAAUUUGUUACAAAAUUACCAGUUUGAGGUUAUUGGUGGUUAAAAUUUAGGCCGGAUAAAUUUGUUACACGUGUAUCAAUUUUGGCUAAAUUUGUCAGAGGUAUAUCAGUAAAGAGUUUUUGGUAGUAUUAACUCAAAAGUGAAUGGGGGCAAUUGCCCUCGCAUCACAUAGCAUGGAUCCGCCUAGAGUUUAGGUCUUGUUUGGUUCCAUGUGGGAUAUGAUUAUAUACAAGGAUCAUCAUCUUGGGAAGGAGUUUAAAUUUAGAAUCACACUACUUGUAGAAUUAGAUUCCUUGGAAGAUGUGGAAGCGGAUCUUCCUAUGUUACCUUGUAUUGAGUUUCCAACUUUUCCAAAUAUCACCACAAAACAAUAAAAAACAAACUCCACCAUAUCCUGUUACAUCUCGCCGCCACCACCAUGGCAUGUCGACGUCGUCUUCACUGCCUCCACAAGUAUCCUCACCACCACCGUCAGCAGCCUCCCUCUUUGCACAACAAGCUAUCUUAGAAUUGUUUUAGCCAUCUAAAUCAUUGCAAAAAGCAAGAUUUCAUAGGAUGUGAUCCUUGCAGUGAGGAUGUACUCGUAGAUUAAAAUUAUGUAUCAUUUUAUGAUUUUGUUGACACCCAAUUAAAGAAAGUUGUAUUUUCAAUGCAUAAUGUGUUUUGUGUUAUAUGUAGUCAGAGCACUUCUUUAAUAACUUUGGUUAACAAUAUUUGGGGCCCUCAUCAACAUGACUCACACUAGGGGUGAUCGGUUCCCGGUUCGGUCCGGUUCCAAGGUGGAACCGGGAGAACCGGUUCCCAAUUUUGGGAACUGUGGACUGGACCGUUUGGUCCUAGGACCGGGAACCGGACCCGACCAUCGGUUCCGGUCCGGUCCGGUCCGGUCCAACAAAUCGGCAUUUUCCUUUUUCACCAAAGAAAAACCAUGCUCCGGACCGAUCAAUCCAAUUUGGUUCCCGGGCGUUCUAAUAAAACUACUCACACAUGUUUCCAUGCGCCAUGUGCAAAAUAUUCACACUUCACUUGCGUCAAUAUCAAUCACAGUUUAUGUGUUUCACGCUUAAUUUUAAGCAUAAAAGCCAUGAACAAUUUGAUUAAAGGUUGUGCUUAGUUUAGGUUUUAUAGACAAUUUCUCUUCUAUGCUUUGAAUGUUUAGUCGAUAUCAAACUCUUUGAGGCUUGAAGUGCCUUGUUGUUUGCAAGUGAGGGGAGCAAGAGAGAGAGUGUGAGCACGAGGAACUCCUAGAGCCUUGUCUCACAUCGAGUAGAAAAUGAAACUAACAAGUAAGUUUUCUCUAUAAAUAAAGAGUAACAACAAAGCUUUGGUGGUCUCUUGGCCACAUAAAAGAUUGUUACCUCAAUUGCAAUUGUAAUUGCAAUAAGUUUCAUAUAUAAUAUUCAUAUAUUAUAUGUGUUUAUAUAUUAUAUGUAUAUAAAUUAUAUAUAAAAAAAAUUGGUCCGAUCCGGUUCCCACCUUGGAACCGGGAACCGAACCGUCGACCAUGGGAACCGCCCAAAACCGGUCGGUCUGGUCCGGUCCUGGUUCAGGCGGUUUCCGUUGCACACCCCUAACUCACACUUCUUUUUAGAAGAUAGUUGUUACAUGGAUCUUUGGUAGGGGUGCGCAUGGUCCGGUGUGAGUCAGUCCAUCCUCAAACCCUAGGACUAACUCGCAUAGUUUUAGUGCUCAAUUUUUGGGACGGAAGACCAAUCCUAUUGGACCACCGAGGACCGGACCAAACCCAUUAACCAAUCCAAUGGGUUCAGUUUAGUUCUAGGGUUAACCCGGGACCAACUGAUAAUUUUUUUGUUUCAUUUUUUGUACUAUCUAAAAAGACAAAUCUACCACUUCAAAUUAUAUAUUCAUUGACAAUGUGGCGUUGUGCAACUAAAUUAUAAAUACCAAUACAUAUUCAAUAAAUUUAAGACAAGGUGGCAAUAGAAAUUUCACACUCGCCAAAAAUAAGAAAUCAUAAGAACGAUUAAAACCGCUCAUAGAGAUAUGAGACAAGAUAGGAAGUUCUUGCAAUCAUUAAUCAAUUAUACUUGUAACACCAUAUGUAAAAGCGUUUAAAUAAUAUAUUAGAUCUAUAAUAUGAUAAUAUAUUUUAGAUAUAUUAUAUAUAAUAUAUACAUUUAGGGUUGAUUUGGGUUAUAUUGACCCUAAACUCCCAAAAUUGAGGACCAACUUGCACAGUGCUGGUCUAGGGAUCUUAAGACCAAGGAUCAACCUAAUCCCUCUAGGAAUUAGACCUAAACCGGCACGGUUGGGCUAGUUUAGGGUCGGUCCAGGGUUAACCUUAGACCGAUGCUCACCCCUAAUCUUUGGAGGGUUCCAAUUGACAAAAACUUAAUGGUUUCAAUUAAAAGUUCAAUGAGGUAAAUAUACUAGAAAUCUUAAGACUUGUAAUAAAAGUGCGAUUAAAUCUUAAAACUUUCAAAAAAUUGUAUCAAGUUCUAAAACUUAUUAUAUUAGUACAAUCAAAUCUUUUUGUUCACUCCAUCCAAUUAGAUUAAUGGAAAAGGCUGAUGUGGCUUUCUUUAUUAUUUCUCUAUUUGACGUAGCUUUUUAAUUUUUUUUCUCUCCUAUAUGACAUUGAACUUACUUAUAGAAGACUAAAGUGAUGUUUUUUUUUUUUUUAUCAAAAUUUUAAUUUUUUAACCAAAGCAUUAAUUAAAUUAAAUUUUUUAAAAAUCUAAUUGUUUUUUUCACAAAAACAAAGAAAAAGGGCCAAGGCCAUGGCCCUGGUCACUUUUUUUUUUGGUAAAGAUGGCCCUGGUCACUUUCGCCCCACCUUCGCUAGAAAGGGUUGGCGAGCCCUUUUUUUAAAAGAAAAAUUAGCUUUUCUUUUAAACUUAAUAUAAUUAAGAUUUUGGUUAAAAAUUAAGAUCUAGUUUUAUGUUUCAUGUUUUAGUAAGGUCAAUAUCACAUAGAAGAGAAAAAUAAUUUUUAAAGCCACAUAGGAGAGAGAAAGUUCUAAAAAAAAACACUUCAACAUUUUUCAUUAACCUAAUUGGACGAAGAUUGCAUUAAUUUAAUAAAUUUUAAGACUUGAUUGUACUUUUUGAAAGUUAUAGGACUUAAUCACACUUUUGUGACAAGUUUUAUGACUUUUAUUGCACUAUCCCAAUGUUAAUCAAAGAUAAUCGAUGGCUAAUUAUAUUGUCUAAUUUGAAUUUGAAUUAAAAUUGGAUGGAAGGAUUAUAAUAGUAAAUCUUCAAAGGAUCUAGUAUUGAAUUGGUUAAAUUGAAAAUUUUACAAUUAAAUUGGCCGACAUAAAAUAUAUACAUAAAUUUUUAGACAACCAUCUUACUUGUCAGGCAUUCCAUCAAUUGGGCAUUGUGAGUUAUGUGUAUCGUCAUGGCCUGUUUUGGGUCACUGAUUUCUUUAAAUUAGGCCCAAAUUAUGAGCAUGGUAUCAACAAUAUCAAAUAAGGACAAUUAAAGAUCACAAUGGAGAUCAUCGAUUGCAAAAUUCCUGGUGAGUAUUAUUGUUCUAAUGGAAAUCUUGGUGUCAAGGAUUUUGUGAAGGUGUUUAAGAGAGGUAAGUCCAUUUUUGGUUAUAUAUCAACAAGUGUGAGAAAGCAAAGCGUCUUAUGGAUCGAAGCAUGAACAACGUUGUGGUGGGGAAGAUUAAGGGAUGAGCAAUAGAGGGAAGAAAGAACAUCACUAACUAUUUGGUCGAAGAUCAAAAGGCUAUCGAAUUAAGAUUGAUUCACCAAAUACUAAUUGGUGGUUAAUUUGAAAAUAUUGAUUUUAGCAUUUCCUUAAAUCCGUCGAAUUUUAAGUAAGUGGUUUCACAAUUUACCCUAUAAAUCGAACUUCACGAGUAAAUUGUCCUACAGUAUAACUCCUCAUUAUCAAUCUUUAGUAAUGAAGACCCAUGAAACAUGUGAUUUUUCUUCAAAAGAAUGUUAAAAUGCAUACGUGAAUUGUGUUAGAGAAGUCUUGUGUUAGAAAAUUAAUAUGGUGUGAAGCAAAUAAUGUAUCAUAGUUAGUCUACAAACUUUUGAUCUACACUUUUGUGUAAAAGUAAGUCUAACUUAAUAUAUUAAUGGGUCCAAAUAUGGCCAUCUAUGAGGUACCGAGUGUAUAAAGCCAAUGUACUUGAAUAAGAUACCUUAGUGUCCACGUCCAAAUUCACUAGAAUAAGACUCAUUUAUUACUCAUAGUCCACAUUCUGACUCAGUUUCCAUCAUGGUGUUCAUAUAUAUAAGAGAAGGACGACCCAACUCUACAUACCAGAUCCCUUCCCUGCGCUCAAGCAGCCGCCUCCACCGUCCCAAAUGAAGCCGACAUCAUCUUCGACAAGAUCGCCGCCACCAUCAUCUUGCUCAGUCCGCCGCCGCCAACCAUUCCCAACCCCUUCUUCCGUAACUCCGCCCACAAUUGAUGGAACUACAGAAUUCAUUAGACCGUUGUCAUAUAUCAGUUUAAGAAUCAAUUCUGUCAGAAAAAUAACAGCGCAAGAGCUAAAAUUGAAUAGUUGUGGUAAUGCAUGUAUCGUUUUCGUAAUUGCCCGAAAGUUUUUAUAUCCUUUCAACUGAAGCUUAACCGACGUUUUUACAAUAUAAAUCAUCGCGUCUUUCUAUAUCUAUAACUAUCGAUUUGUACCUACAUGUACAUCUACACGAAGAGAAUAAAGUCAGACCCAUAACCAGACACAGCUGAUAUUCUAUUUCUUCCACCAUUUGGCAUCACAGUUUUCGAGGAACUUUCAUGGGGCAUUUUCUCUAUGUCUAUUUAAGGCUUGAUUGGCAUUAUACAUGUAAUUAUGAGCCCCUUUAUUUCGCGAGGAUGUAUCAUUUUCUAAAAAUGACCUGAUUUUUUGGUUUUUGACUGAAUCUGAAAAAGAUCCAAAAGUUUUUUCCGUGGUUUGAUAACAAAAAAAUUGAUAGGAAAAAUGAUAAAAAAAAUUCAUUUUUUAAUUUUUUUUAUUUCUAUAUAUUCUUUUACUUUUUUUUUGUCUUUAUUUUUGCUUCUUCCUAGUCGGUUGUCAGCCAAGGCGACUUGCCACGUGAGCUCAAGCCUCGCUAGAUUGGCGAGCUUCGAGCUUGCCACAAGCUGACGACCUUGAGGGCAAGCUCAACCUUGCCAGAUUUGGCGAGGCUCAAGCUCGAAUGUGGCUAGCGGCUGACCAAGGAAAAAACAAAAAUAAAAAAGAAUAUAUACAAAAUAAUUAUUUUUAAAAUAUAAAAAUAAUUAAAAAUUUGAAUUUUUUAAAAAAUAUUUUUGUAAGAAUAAAGUUUUAUUUGUCAAGAAUUUGAGCCUGAUUGCUAAGGACCCACAAUACAGCCUUUGUGGAUUCGAGCUUGAGGGUCAAGACCAAAGCUUGAGCGUCAAGACCCUCAAGCAGGACCUUUAUGGACACAAACUCGGGUGUAUGAGCAUCGAAAAGGGCCUAGGGAUUUGGGCCCGAACUUGAUGGAUUCGGGUGUGGGUGCUGAGGGCCUAGGCUUGAGCACCAAGGUCCUGGGCUUAGCCUUGAUGGUCCCAAGCCUAGUUGUCGGAGACUUGAUUUUGAAUGCCAAGAACCGAGAACUAAUGUUGGGGUUUUAGGGUUCAAGUGCCAAUACCUAGUCAUAUUUUGGAAAAUGUUUUCCAGUUCUUUCAAAAAUGAAAUUAUUUUCCUGAAUUUAAGUUUUGAUAGGAAAAUAUUUUCUGUUGACUCAUUUUCCUAAGUAAACCAAAUGCUGAAAAGUGAGAAAAAUGUUUUGCAUAAAAUGAAUGGACCCAAAAUCACUUUCUUUUAACAUUUCAUUGAAUUAAUCACUAUUGAUAGCAAGCUUACAGGGACUCAAGUUUGAAUGUAGAGAAAAGAUAUAACAUCAAUCGACGUGAAAGUAGGGCUUUUAUUGUUUAUGCCACAAAUCUAAUGUUAAAGAGGCGUGCGCUCAGACAAGAAUUCUUUGUACAUCAUGCACCCAUCCUUUUCCUCCCCAUUUGAAAUAUGAAGAAGUUAAAUACAACAUUAAGUUUACAUAAUGAUCAUCAUAAUCAUUAAUCAUGAAGAUCUCAUUACGAGUUGAGAUAAUUAGUGACUAUGAUGGUAUUGAUAUACAUAGAUCGAAUCUAUGAAAUAUUUCUCUUGAAAUUCGUGAGAUGUCGCAAUAAAGUUGCACGAGACUAAUUUCAGGCAUUUCUAUCUCCUCUCCCUCUUUUCAUGUCACCGAUUGGUGGGCUAAUGCUUUGACAGCUUUUUCAUAAUUUCUUUUUCCCAGUGUGCCUGUCCUGAUGUCUUAACUAGGCUGACUUGUGUCGAAUAACAUUAUUUAUUCUUAGCAGUACUUACUCUUUGCAUCUCUUUGCAGCUUUUGCACAAUACUAACCAAAAGUUGGAACUAGUCCGUCCAAAUCUUCGCAUUUGCUCCUUUUGCCCCAUUGAAGAAACGGGUUACGAGAGGUUAUGGACUCGCUUUUUAUGUGGUUUCACUUUCGAUGCGAGGAUGAUACGAAACACUAGGAUAUGAAGGAGAUGAAUAAGUUAAAAAGGAUCUGAUGCAGAGAUCUUUACAUGACUUUCACUUUAUUCUGUCAAUCCUUUCAAUUUGCGUCUUUUCUUUACCAUCCUUGAAUUUUUUAAUGAGACGAUAAUACCUAAUUGGAGGAACUCUGAUUGGUCAGUUUUUUUUUUUGAAAUUUUAUAUUUAGGUUGGGUGUUACAUUCAUCCUCCAUAGGACUUUAUCUGGCUUCAUCCUCAACAGAGCCUAUCUGGCUUCGCUUGGCCCCACCGAUGAUGAUGAAGCUUAAGAUCGACUGGCUUGAUCGUUGUCAAUAAAACCAAUUGAAUAAUGUGGAAAAUAGAUUUGAGAGUUUUCUUUUUGUAUGUUUCUAUAUAUUUUGAUAAAUAAUGCAUGGACCUAUUUAUUGGCUUUACUGAUGAACGUUUGAUCUAAUAAGAUAAACAUAGUUUCAAUUAUAAUCAAUCAGGGAUAGGCACAAUCAAAGAAUUUAUAUGCAUAAAAUGGAGAAUAUCCUCAUCGUAUUGCCAAUAGCCCCUCCCCCCUUCAAGCUUAAGGUCACUUCAAAAAAGUCAAACAGAGUUUGAAAUCAAGUCAAACAAUGCCAUAAAAAUUUGUUCCUCCACCAAAUAGGUGAGUGGAAGAGUUGAUAUGGAGAAACUUCAAAAAUGGAUGCACCAUGUCGAAAUACACUAAGAACCAAUCCAAUUGCCAAGAGUUGAUCAAAAAGUGCUUGAAUCGGUUGAAAAAAAUGCUCUAAAAACCGGUCGGACCAGUCAAACUGAACCGGUCAAUGGUCCGUGUGCUUGCGUGUGGGAAGUGUGAAGUUUAUUUCCGGUAACUAAAACUUCAAGCUAUGACUCGUUUAAGGGUCAUGAGUCUAGUGAUGGUAUUGGUUUCUCGAAACGAAUAGUGAAAAAAUUAAACAUAAUACCAACUAUACUCAAAUGUAUAAUUUUGAAAAAUACAAAGAAUAAAUAAAUAUAUAGAGAGAAAGUUAUUAGGGUUUUCUUAGUAAUUUAAUUAUUUUUAGGUUAAGCCCACAUAUACUCAAUGGAAAGGCAUGUUAACCCUGCUAACAUCCUACCUUCCAAGAGUGUUGCCACCUACGAGGGCUACCGGCAGUAGUCUUGGAAAUGCAGAGCUUUGUUAAGUUGUAUUCCUUAUUUUAAUGUCUUGGUAUCUAGAUGCCUCACAACCCAAAUUCCCACCCAGAGUUUUUCUUUCCUAACGAGUGGGAAUACAAAAGACAAUAAGGAGUUCUACUCCUAAGAGAUUUGCUCUUCCAUUUCUUCCUUGAGCCUUUUAAAGACCUAUUCAAGGAGCCUUUUAAAGACCUAUUCAAGUCUAUCGUUAAACGAACAUAUACUUGAUAGAAAGACACGUUAAAAACCUUUUUCCCAAUUUUUUCUCUACCACAGCUAGCUCCAGUUUCCUUGCACCGUCCCACAACAUUAACGAGCCUGAGCCAAACUCUUCCCGGGCCCAAACCCCAUUUGUCAAAAACAAUAAUAAUUGUCCCCACGAAACCUUAGUGGAAAAACUCAGUCUGCAUAUAUUAUUGUCCCCUCUCCUACAAACGCACAACUUGGGUACGUCACCACCAACGGAUAUAUAUCCUCCUUUAAAUUCCAACCCUCCACUCGCCCACCCAAAAAGGACGAUCGGAAUUCCCCUCUCUUUCUUUCCAAUCGAUCCAUCCACCACUCCAUAUCCCCGCAGUACACGAGAAGACAUGGCUGAAGAGUGCGCCGAGAGCUCCGUCGCCAUCGACGUCACGGCCGUGCAGCCGGGCAGCUGGUGGCAAGAUCCCCAUGGUAGCUCUAUAUCUCCUCCUCCUGCAUGGAUUAACGGUAGCAGCCACAACCCGUGGGGCCACCAUCACAACCAAAACCCUAGCUCCAACGAUUCUCCCUGCGAUGAAGCCGUCUCGAUCUCGUCCUCAGCAUAUACCAACACAUCGAUCCACUCAGGACUGACAGUCGAGUCCUCUGGCCGGCUUCUUGAGUCGACUUCCUCGCCGAACGAGUUGAUCGGGGAGCAUCUUUCUGACCAUCAUCUCUGGAACCACGUGCUGCUGUAAGUCCAUGCGCAUAAUUGUGUACCGAUAUGGCUAUUUGAUUUGGCAAAUGUUUUCUAUGACCACUCCUUUACUGAUGAACAUGGUAGAAGGAUGACGGCCGAGCAGUCUAACGUCCGGUUAGCAUGCAGCAAUUCUCAUGUUCAAGUCAUAACGCUUGUUACUUAAAAGAGUUAUUUCGGGUUCGGGUUCAUCAUCUAAUGACGACGGGCUUUACCUGAUGUACGAGAACAAGACGGUUUGAGUAAAUCUUGGAUACCCGUAUUGAAAAUAUCAUAUAUGACUAUAGUAGGACCAACUGGGUUGAUGUGCAUCUAAUCGGUAUCGGUGGAAAAAGAAGGAACUUUUAAGAGAAUAAUUGGACAAUAGGGUGAUUGUGGUGGUAGGUGUGGAAUUGGGGUAUCGAAAGACUGGUAUUAUUUAUUGUUAGGGCAAGAGAGUCUCGCUAGAAUAGAAGGAUAUAAAACUUGAAAUCUUCGGGUGAUCACUGCGACUAAUCUGAUCUCUAAAGAGAGUUGAGACUCUCAUAAAUUAGCAUACAUACUAUGCUUAAUAUGUGUAAAUUCUGCAACCAUAUAGAUUAAGAUUGCAAACGACACUCAAUGAGAUGAUUUUUGCACACAAAAUAAUGCUAAAAAUAUUUCACACCUUUCUUUCCUCUUCUUCUUCUUCUUCUUUUUUUUUUUGGCCGGGUUGGGAGGGGGUGUGAGGAUAUAUUAUUGCACGUCGUAUUGACAUUUCUUGCCAUUAUCUUUCUUUUAUUUUUCUCCAUUGACUUGCUAGCUAGGACUAUCUUUCAUUCCUUUACAUUAGCCUUGUGUGGAAGCAAGAUGAAACAUAUGCAAUCAACAACUCGAUAGACUUGUGUCGGAGCAAUAUCCUCUCAACUUUCUAACUUUCUCCCCUUAAUAUAAGCUGUCAAGGUAGAGUUGUAUUUUCCAUGCUAGUUCUUUUAUCAAGUAUCUUUCUUUGCCAAACCCAUGCAGAAGUGUGUCUCUUUCAUUUCACUUUCUUGGACCAUUUUCUUUAUUUUUCUUAGAAUACACAUAUAUUUACUUCCAUAUAUAUGUCUAUCUAUCUAUUUGCGUAGAAGUGUCGGAAGCGGCGGAGAUCUACAUAACAACCAGCACGACGUGCCCGAGAACCUCCUUGAUUCUCUUUCCUCCAAGACCUUGUCGAACCUUAAUAGCUUCGAACCACCGAGUGCAACCUCCUCGUGCAACAAUUUCUUGAAGAAGUUAGGCAACAUUUGGGACUUCCCAAACGCCAGUCUCAGCGGGUCAACCUUCAUGCAAGGCCAGAGGUUUAGCUCGAAUAAUAAGCUGUCCAACUCGGUCAGCGACUGGUCGAUUGCGCCUCCCGACCCAGAAGUCAACCUCCCCUUCGACUCGAGCCCCAUGUCAUUGGGCUCCUCUUCUACGUGUCAAGCUCUGUGCGGGUCGCCGAUCCCACGCACUCAAUAUGGCAGCGAACUCGAAGCAUCAGUUGGAACAGCACUGUUCAGGAGAUCGCCAAGCGUUUACAGUAGCAACAAUAUUCUUGGAGAAGGGUUUGGGCCGACGAACACGUCGAUGAUGGCAGAUAAUGGUAGAUACUACAGCGGGGUGACCGGUUCCUUGUGCAGAGGCUUCGAUGACGAUAAUACAUCACCGUCUUUUAGCAGCAGAAUAGGGAGGCGCUUCAAGACGUUGAAUUUAUCUGACUGUAAGAUCAAGCCUGUGUCAUCUCCCCCGGUAAGUAAGCAAGCGGGAGAGAUUAAGUAAAUUACGUUUUACCGGUGGGGCAUGUUCAUUUAUUUUUGUCUUUUCCAUAGGUAUGGAGUUCGUUUCUUGAUUUGGGUAUGAUAAACAGUUAUUCCACCAUGAACUGAGUGAUAUAAACCACUAUAAUGUGUCGGUUUCAUGUGAAAUUCAACCGAUCUAACAGCUCAGAUUACUUGAUACUACAUCUAAGUACAAUCAUGGUACCUAAGCCAUUUACCAUAAAUAGGAACCUGUCACACAUGUUUGGUGGAUUUACUCUGAACGAGAGCUUUUACUUUAUCUUGUUUGGUGUGAUUUUUUCAUUCCUGUGAACAAAAGCUUAUUGCCAUAAUGAUCUUUUCCAACAUGUAGGUGAAGGCCAGCAUGAGAGGACCGGGGAACACAAGUGAGGGCAAAAAGAAAAGAUCAGAAGACAGUUCGGAGGCCGUCGCCAAGAAACCCAAGCACGAGAGCUCAGCAGUUUCAUCUUCCAAGGUACUAAUCACACAUUAUUUCCUUUUCUUCCUAUUUUUCUCAAACCUUAAUACGUAUAACAUACGUACACACACACGCGCGCGCACAUAUUAUACUCGCUACGAAGUGUCAUUACAUUUUUCUUGGGCACAGUAAAUUAAUCAUUUGGAAUUAAUAAUAAAAUUAUUAAAUAUUGCUGUUAUUAUUGUUGUUUCUGCAAAAGAUGCAGGUAACCAAAGUCAAGCUUGGGGACAGGAUUACAGCCCUUCAGCAAAUUGUGUCGCCGUUCGGAAAGGUCUGGGUUUAUUUUAUUUAUUGAAAAGAAAAAAGAAGGCCACUAACCCGAUGCUUUUUCUUCCUUUUAUGUUCCACAAUUUAAUUCAGUAUUUUAAUUCGGCCCCUUUCUAACAACUACUUUCAAUUUAUACUCAGACCGACACUGCAUCGGUUCUAAUGGAAGCGAUCGGGUACAUAAAGUUCCUCCAAGAGCAAGUGCGGGUAAUAUGUUCUCCAAAGUCAUGAUCACGACUUGGUACUUCAAUAAUGAGAGGAUAAGCAAGAAAAAAGGGCUACAUAUAUAUACGUCAGCAUGCCAAUUAUUGACGAAAUAAUUUUAAAAUAUAAUAGUAAGCUAAUCAGCGAAUCGCAUUAUGAAUGUGGAAAGUGAACAUAUAUAUUUUUUCUGUGAGGAUGGACCAAAUUUAUUAUAUCUAAUAGAAAUUAUGCACCUUCUAGUUUUCUUUAAAUGGUAAGUGAGCACUUGCCAUUUCAUAAUUCCUCAAUCAAGUCAAAAAUAGAUUGUUAUACUGCGAUGACAUGACUGAUAGGUAUUAAGAAAACUCGUUCGGUUUUGAUGAGGUAUUUAAAGUCAAUCACCAUACGAGAGUCAUGAACAAUUCAUAUUCUUAAGUAGGAUAUAACCAGUACAAAUUAUCCAUUAGUAUUUGAUCUUCUAGAGUAAGUUUAGGCCACUUGUUUGCCCAUCAUAUCAAAUAACAAAUCGAGAGUGAUUAUUAGCGUUGUUAAUAGUGUCAACCCCUUCCCUUUGCAGCUACUAGUGAGCAACCCCUAUUUGAAGACGAAUCCCCACAAGGUGAAUAAAGUCCAUAUGCUUCUCUAGUAACUCUGUUUGUGAAACAUUAUGUGAUAUGGACUUACAUGCUUCGCACCUGCCAUUUUAGUGAUGAAACCCUAAAUAUUUGCAGGAUCCAUGGGGAGCGUUGGAUAGGAAAGAGAUGGGAGAUUUUAGGGUCGAUCUCAAAAGCAGAGGGCUUUGCUUAGUCCCGGUCUCGUGCACACCUCAAGUCUACCGUGAGAACACGGGGUCCGACUACUGGACGCCGCCAUAUCGAGGGGUUCUAUAUAGGUGAAAGAGUCUCGCAUGCAUAUAGAAUAACAGCUUUGAAUUAGUCGAUUCCUUAGAGGACAUAUGCAAUCAAUAAGCUCACUAUGUACUUUGUUAUCAAAUUGGACACAGGAGUGAUGGUAACUUUGAAACUCAAGCUCUGAGUAGUUAAUUGUGGCAACGUUGUAGUAGGUAUUGGCUUGUUUUCACCCUCUGACCUAACUCUCUUGUACAAUAAAAAGUUGGAGGCAGUAAACCAACUUCCAUAUUUUACAAAUAUAUUUCAUCUCUAGUCACCUUGAGUUGGAAUCUUGAGAUUGCAAAUACAGCCUUCAUAUAUGACUAUUAUAUAAUAACUAUUUACGCGAUUUACUUUGAAUUCUAUGGCCUAAUAAUAUGAUGUCGGGUAUUAAGUCAUAAGCUAAAUGCUGCUAUUGAAGUUAUGUACAUGCCAAAUUUAAUACCGAUAUGACGUCGAGAAUAGCUCCGGAUGAAAAUAAAUCAAACUUCGAAAUGAACUUCUUGUGUACUUAACUCAUCAAACUUUCAUUUUUUUUUUCCAUUAAAAAUUGUGCUUCAUUAUAAUGGGUCAUAAAGAAAAAAAUUAACUGGUUUUUUUCUAACCACUCUAGGAGGUGUACAAAAGAUGCCAUGCAUCACAUGUUAAAAUGGCCGAUAAUUUGAACAAGAUUCGGUAACGAAGCAACAACAGGAGAAAAGCCAAUCGUCGCCAGCCCUAGGGAUGAUGGAAAGAAUGAUCCCCCAAUUGCUCAAUGGCAUUCAAGGUGGCCACUCAGGUUGUCCCGUUUCAGUGCUCUUUUUUAUGGGGGAGCUUCUGGUUGUAAAAUGAACGGUUUUCUAGAAGCGGGGAUGACGCAGAAGGGGGGACGAUUGCAACGAGACAAAAGGGUCAAAAGGAGACUCGAGCCGUGAAGUGAAUGAAGUUGCCGAGUCUAGUGGGUGGGGCUCAGGGAGGGCACGCAGAGAGAUGCUGCUCUCUCCUUCCUCCCCCUCUCACUCUCUCUCUAAUUAUAAGAAAGAAGGGAGACUCGCUUUGAAUUCUCCUCGAGAAAUGAUGAGGAGCUAGUGGGGGAGACUAACGCUUUUUACCUCCCAGUGAAAAAACCUUCACGACUCUCUGCAUCGCGAAGUGCUUAAGUUCAGCCCCGACCACACGAACGAAAGAGAUUGCAGCCCUAGUCUCUCUCUCUCUCUCUCUCUCUCUCUCUCUCUCUCUCUGUACUUUUUUCCUUUUUUCUAUGUGGAAUAUGGUCGUGAACUGUCAUUAGCACUCACUGGGUAUGACCAAGAAACCCCAACCACAUUGCAGGCAAACAACAUGGAGGCCUGUGCUGAGGUCUAGUGUGGGUUGUGCCAUUUCUAGAAGUUAAUGACUUUGAUUAAGAGGUUGACUUUAAACAAUCAUGUCCCGACCCCAUAUAUUUUGAAUUUUGAAUGCAAAGCCACUUAAGAGCUUGCUUUGACAGAGUACGAUUCAACUUAACCUUCUAUAUCGAUCUAUUGUGGAGCUACAACGAUUGAAUGAUACUCCUUGUAUUUUGUAAAAACCUUGUUUGUGUACCUUGAACCAUGUGUUUGGAUUUGAAGUAAUAUGCCCAUUGGUUGGUUUAUUCCAAGAAAAAAAAAUCCGAUGAGAUGACGAUAUCUUGUGCACACCUGAUAAAUGUGGUUAGAUAAAUGUGGUUAGAGAGGAGUUAGAGAGAUGAGUAAAAUACAAAAGAAAAUAAGAAGGCCCAUAUAUCGAUGACUGAAUAUUAUGAAGAAUCGAAUUCGGUAUACCUCUAUCUAGAUCUAAUACUAAUGUAAGGGAGAGGAGAUUGUUCAUAACCAGACUUAUGCGCCAUAAUGUGAUGGCUGAUAUAAAAGUGGGUAGUUACAAUACCACCAAAUCAAUGGUGGAGAGAGCAACUUGUACUUUUUCUUCUAUUAGUAAAGCAUCCAAUGAAAACCUUAAUUUUUUUUUUCAUUAAAAAGUAAAAUGUCUUAAGGUGACAAAAUGUACUACGUUGUUGAGCAACUGAUUUUAUUUUAUAUUAUUUUUCCUUUGACUGGAAAAGAUUGCUUUAUUCUCCAUCAAAACGUGAUAAUUUCAUGUGACCUAAAAUUAACUGAUAGUUUAGUAUUUUCUUACAAUGGUAUGCCAUGUCAGACGCCAUUUUGGCAUUUAAAGGACCACUUACCAGCGAUACCAAUAAUGGAUAUUUUUAUGCAAAAAAUCACGUUCAAGGGUCCUCAUCACAUAUUCUAAAGUUCAAGGAAUUUUUUUACCAACGGUUGGUUUUUUUUUUUUUUUAAUGGAAUCGGGCCUUGAGAAUUAAGUAAACAAACAAAAAAUGAAAACAUGUGCAUAAAUGGUCCCUUUUAUCUAUUUUGGCUGCGUUUGUUUUCGUUUCUUUUUUUUGUUUUUAAACAACUUUUUUGUUCCCAGAAACACAUCUACAUUUGAAACAGAAACAGGAAAUAAAAAAAAAGUUGUUUCUUGUUUCUGGAACAAAAUUUAGAAACACUUUCUUUUCUUCUUCUUUUUCUUCUCUCUUUUUUCUUUCUUUUUUCUUUGGCCGAUCGUCGGCCUCAGCUAGGGUCGGCGACUAGCCGUCGAGGGCCGGCAACUUUGUCGGAGCGUCGCCGGCCCCCGGCGAGUCUGACCUCGUGCCGAGCUCGCCUAGCUAAGGCGAGGCCAAGCCUCGCCCAGCUAUGGCAAGGCUCGGCCUCGUUGGGGGCCAGCGACUGACCAAAAGAAGAAAAAAGAAAAAAGGAAAAAGAAAAAAGAAAAAAAGGAAAAAAAAAAGAAAAUAAGAAAAAUAAGAAAGAAAAUAGAAAAAAUAAAAAAAUUAUACAAAUUUAUCAAACGUGUUUCUGUUCAAUUUUUAUUCCCAAAACAAGUUUACCAAAUACGUUUUUUUGUUCAAAAAUUGUUCUCCGGAACAUAAACACUUUUUUCUAUUUCUGUUUUCUAGAACAAUUUUUAAACAGAAAUGUUACCAAACGCGUCUUUCUUCACUCUUUUUGGUUGCCCAAACAAGAAGAAAUAUUUUAUUCUCCCUUCAUUUCUCUUAGGGUCGGACUAAAGAGAGAAUCCAAAGCCCAAUCCAGGGCCUAUGGUUAGAGUCUUUUAGAUUCCAGAGAUGUCUAAUUGGGCCAGAAAUGGAGAAGGCCAAAGCCCAAUUUUCAAUUGGGCUUUAGUCUCGUAUUAAGUUGGCCUCUCGUUGUAUCUAAAGUUAUUCAUCUCGUAUUUGGUCAAAUGGUAUAGUUGACCGUUUAAUGAACCAGAACAAGUGUGAAUUCUGAGCGCUACUCUCUCUUUCCCCUAAUCACCUUCAAUAUAAUUUUUUUUUCUCCCUUUUCACCAUAACAUUUCCUCAAUUGCUUAGGCCAGUUAAGAACUUUUACUCUGUAUUCAAAUUUAUCCGCUCACAUAUAAUCAAAUUUCAAAUACCUAAAAGCUUUCAAAAUCGACAAAUAUUUGUAUGAUAAGGCACCUAAUAAAAUUUGCUUCACAUAUAACCCUUAGUUUAGGCAAGAAAGACGGCUUUAUAUAAUUUGAUGUUUAAUAAGCGAGAUUUUUCAAAAUAAAUCAAAGUUGACCUAAACAUUGUGAUAUAAAUAUUUUCAUAACUUAUUUAAAAUUUAGUUCAUAAUUUCUAAGGGCGCGAAUGAUAAUCAUUUUGAUAAGAAAUUGAUUUUCAAAAUAUAAAUAGAUUUUUCUAUUCCUAUUCCCGAAUGAGUUUCUAAGCAAAAAUACGUGUUUGAUAACGACGCAAAAUUUCUGUUUUCGAAAUAGAAUUAAAUUUCUUUAUCUUGAAAGGGGGGCAGCGGAGGCAUUGGCUAGUGGCAACCGAUGGUGGUAGAUGAUGAGCAGAAGAUAGUGGGUGGAUGGGCAACUAGUAUUACGGAUGAGUAGUAAGAAGAGUUUUAAUAAUUUCAUUUAUGUUCGAAAAAUAAAGAAGUGAAAAGUUUUUACUUAUCAUUUUUGUUCUAGAUCUAUUUUAAGAUUAAAAUUUUGUUGCAAAAAUUAAUAAUAAUAAAAAGAUUGUAUCAUCAAAAAAAUUCUAUUCUAGAAAUAAAGAAUGGAAAUAGGACGAUUAUUCCUGCCGUUAUUCAAGCAAAAUCAAGGAAGGCUCGGUAUUUCUCUAUUUUUCUUUUUUUUAAAUCCGUCUAUUUCUGCUAAAGAUUCGACAACAAGAAAAAAAGAUGAAAAACGAGAAUAAUGCUUUCGUAGACCCGGGCAGGUCCCAUUCGUCUUGGAAGCCCCCCCUUUUUCGUUCCGACCGACCUUGCUAUAAAAUCCCUUUGGUCUCCGGACGAAUGGCGUCCCUUCCUUCUCCUCGGCGACAUUGAAAUCCCCUCCUCUCCCCUCCCAGUCCCAGUCUAGGGUUUUCUCGCGGCACCGCCUUCCUCCGCCGCCGGUCGCCGUCGCCGGGAGAUCGGCCAUGCGACGGAGAUGAAGCGCGCACUGGACGAGCUCACGGAGGAGGACUGGGGCGACCUGUCCAGCUCCUUCAAGCCCUCUCGCGCCCUCAGGAGGCCCCCGUCGCCCCCGCCGCCCCCCAUCGAGUCCUUCGCCUUCCGCCGCGGCAAAUCGGGCCGGCCCCGCUCCCCGAGCACUUCCGGCCGAGGAAUCGGCGAUCCCGUCGAGGCCGGCGGCGGCUCCGAUGACUUGGAGGACGACGAUGCCGAGCUGGCCGGCCCCGUCGCGCCGGCGCCGGCGAGCCGUGGCCGCCGGUUUGUAGUCGACGACGACGACGAUGAGGAGGAGGAGGAGGAGGCGGGAACGGGUAGUAAGGUGGAGAGCGAUGGGGAUUUGGUCGAUGUCUACGAUAUAAGCUCUGCAGAGGACGAGAAGGAGGAGGAGGUUGAGGGGGAGGGACUGGGGGCGGAAGAGGAUGAGGUGGAGGAUGAUGAUGUGGUGGGGAAGGCUCUGCAGAAAUGCGCCAAAAUUUCUACGGAUUUGAAGAAGGCGCUUUAUGGCUCUUCCGUCGCUUCAUGCGAGCACUACUCCGAAGUGGAAGCUUCCUCUAAUCGGAUUGUCACUCAGGUUCUCUUUGCAUUUUUCCUUUCCAUCCUAUGAAUUAAGUUUAGGACUUUUGGUUGCUCGGCAUUUUCGCUCCUUACUAGUGUUUGCCCAAGGUUGGAGUUUUACGAUGUGAUGGAAGCUUGGGGGACGAGGAUACUGUCAGUGUCGAUUAAGUUGGUUUCUAAAUUUGUUUUGGUUUUUGGCGGGGCUAAUGUGGUUUUGUAGCUGUGGGCGGAAGCAAUUGUUUAAGUGACUUAAAGAACCUUGGUUUAUGAUUAGGUGAAAUCUAGGAUUUUUCUGGGCUGUGUUGAACCUUCUUUUUCUUCUUCCUUUUUCACUUCUAGACGUGCUUGUUACGUUGGGAACCUGUAUCUUUUAUAUAUAUUAUCAGCCGUUAUUGUGCUGGGCCAGUGAUUAAAUAGUUUAUGGAGCUCUGUAGUAGCCUGGAUUGGUCGUUAAUGAGUAGAAUCUGCUGAAACUUAAUUCAAUUAUUCCUUGAAAUUACUUGUUCACAAUCUGCUGUCCUUGAAACUGUGACUCGAGCCAAUUUUUUAGAUUUUCGUGCCGAGUUAUCUUUUGAAGCUGCGUUGUAUGAGCCGUGCAUCAACUAAGAUUGUGCUUCUUCUUAGAAUUACCUAACCAGAAAACUUGAUGCUAUAACAACACAGAGAACUUUUUGUAGUCUAGGAGCAACUAAGUUCACUUCUUCUAGAUCUUGUGUACAGAGAGUUAAUUUCUCUCAUGAGUAGUAGAUGACCAAGCACGAAACCUUUACAUUAAUAUGGGUCUGAAAGUUGUUUUCAAUUCGUAGUCCUUUUCCUUUAGCCUUGCAUUAUGCAUAGAGAGAUGAUGGGAUACUCUGGUUCAGUCGAUUGAUGUCAUGUGGAUGAAUUACAAAGGUUGAUAUGGUUGGGUUUCCUUAAAAAUUGUCAUUCCAUUAUUUAAUUGUGGUUUUCAAUUAUCUGCAGUAACGGUCCUUUGGGAACCUGAGAAUAUAGACAUAUUUUGAGCACGUCUGUUCAUCGAGUUUCCCUUUGACAUUGACUUUGCAGGAUGAUGUUGAUGCAGCAUGUGGUGCUGAUGAUACAGAUUUUCAGCCUGUUCUGAAGCCUUAUCAGCUUGUUGGUGUCAACUUUCUUCUUUUGUUGCAUCGGAAGGGCGUAGGAGGAGGUAAUGUGAAUCUUUUCAACCUUCUUUCUAGAUGCCACAGGUGGUUUCAUUUAGGACCUAAACCAAAUGAAUACUUGUUUUUAAUUUAACUAUCGUCGAGAACUUAGCUCACGUUUCUAAUAUGCUUUAUAUUCCUACUCUAUUUGUUAGACUAGAAACAGCCACAAGAAAAGCUUUCUGUCUAGCAGAGCAGCAAAUUAUUUCUCUUUAUUUGCUUGAUGAGAUGGGGAAAGGGGACAAUGAGACUCGCAUUAAGAUCAAGUGCCUGGAAUGGAGUGGCACUACCAACCCUAUCUCCAUGGCCUGUUAACUUUUGAUUCUCGUGACUUCUGUGGUCUUUGAUUGUGCUUCUGGACAUGCUGCCUAAUACUGCUGUUUGUUUGUGGGAACGAGUAGGCAGAAAACAAUAUUCCACGUGCUAAGUUUAGAAUAUUAACUGUCUGGUAACUUGAAAGAAUGAGUGAUGUUCCUAGACAUGGCUGAGAAAAGAGUUAUGACAUUAUUGCCAUUUUGUUCUAGAGAGUUUCCUCUUUUUAUUCUCACAUUGAAAAUUCAGAUAUAGUUCUGCAAUUUCUCCGAGAAAAUAAGAUUAAUGAAAAUGAUGAAAAAUGCUCAGUUGAAAAGUUUCACUAUGGUAAUUCCACGAGCUUGUGGGUUCUGGUUGAAGUUGUCAUAUCAGUUAUUUAUUUUAUAACAGGAGAUUGCUACUUGACAGCAUCACUAGUUUCUGUGGAAGAGUGAUACCUUUUAAAUUUUAGAGAACCCACUUGCUUUUAGGUGGGCAGGAUUGUUUAAAAGUAUUAUUUGUCCUUUGAGGAUGUUGACAGAAAAGAUUUAGAGAGUGGUAAUUAUAGAUCUUGUCAAUGCAUUUGGGGCAAUCCCCAGAGAAUUUCUUUGGGUGGAUGACUGUGGAGUAGAAAGUGCUAUAGUUGCAACAUCUAGGAUAUACCAUAUGCAUCAUGUUGUUGCUUUAUUAAUUGGAAAUGAAGGGAUGAAUUAGGAAGUCUCUACAGCAGUGUCCUUUGUUUACGUUCAGCAUUAAAACCCUAACAGUUUUCCCUUAGUACUGGAUAGCUUGGUGCUGUCCCUUGAUGUGUGCCUUCAGGGGAGGAUACAUUCAUUGUGGAUGAGAUCAAGCUUGGAGUAUACUUGGAGCUUGAAGCAUGCAGGAACUCUAAAGUUUAAAAUUUUGUGUUCUACUAGGUACCGAGAAGAGCAUAUAAAAUACAACUUUUAUAGAGGGUCUUGUGCAAAUAAAGGGUAUACCACAAAUUUCUUCUAUGAUGUAUAAAGAUAUUCUUUAAAAAGUAAUAGACGACAAAAACUCAUUGUUUAGAAAAGAUGAGGAUGCUUGGAUGUCUAAGUGAGAAGGAUGACACAGAUGAUGCAUCAACUUACAAUUAAAUCCUAUUUGGUUUCUGAAUACAAAUUUUCUGUGUUCAUUUUCAUUUCAGAGGUUGUGGUUUUCAAACGGAAAUACAUAAACUGGUACAAACAAUGAGUAGCUUCCUCUUGUUGUCAUUGUGUUCAUUCAAAUGAAAUCAAGUGGAUUUGAAUAAACAAAGAAAGAAACUCUUUUAUUUUUAAUUGGAUAUAAUACACUUUUACUUUUCUUUCAUAAAGAGGAUUUUCAUUUUCUCUUAGCAAACAUGUCUUCAACAAAAUGGAUAACCAAGAACAGUUUUCCUUUUCAUUUUCUGUGGAAAAGAAGACUGAAAUGUUCUUUUGACCCAAACGAGCCCUUUUGUUGCUAUAUCCAGGAUGGGGAAACUCUUUUGAGGUGGUAUAUCAUGAAAUGAUGACAUCAAGUUGCUCCAUCAGGAUAAAAAAAAUCCAAGGUGAAAAGAGGAAAGAGAGGCCUAAGGAUGUACCAGUAAAGCUUUAUAGAGGACCUUGAAUAUAGAACUUACUGAUUAAAUGUUGUUUGAUAGAACUAAAUAGUUUGUAUGAUUUAAUGAGGAGAGACUUAUGUAAAAAAGAUGUUCUGUGGGUCAUGGAAAGCAAAUUAAAUAUGCCAUUUGACUAGAAAGAGUGUUUGAGGGAAAAAAAACAUGUUUAGUCAGUUUGCUCAUUACUGAAAUGACCUAUUUAUGAAGGGUUUUUGGCUUUGGUUACUGACUCGUUUUGCGUGAUUCUGGAUAUAUAGAUAUCCAAGAUUACACCAGAAGAAUCAAAACAAAAACAAGUCAAAAGGAACAGCAAUUUAAAAUGAUGUUCUUUUGGAUGUCAAGGCCAAGGAAAAGAGAACAACUUUCUUAAAGGAAACCUCAUUUGUUAUGAGAAGACUAUCUAAUCUGAAAAGGGCCCUUAAAGACUAAUAAUAGACAUAAAGAUCCUUAAAAUCAAAGGAACACUUCUUAGGAAAGUAAAACUAGUACGCCUAGCACUCUUAAAACUUAAGUUAGACCCAAAAGGACUCUAAAACAAAAAACCUACUAUAUUGACUCGAACAGCACGAGAACAAUAAUAUUUGUUAGACAUUUGUCUUAAGUUAAAUAAAGACACAAAGGACUCUAAAACACAAUUAAAAAAUUUACUACAAUAACUCGAGCAACACAAUAACAGUAAUAUUUUGUCUCUUUCUUAAUGCUCCUGACGUCACUUUUAGUACACCAGUUUUGUGUACGUCCUAGGAAAGAGUAGGUCUAAUGAUUGGUAAUGCAGACGGCAUCAUGCUAUUCUCUCUCUAUUUCAUGUUGUCAAUCACUUUUUGAGAGUUUAUUGUGUAUUGUCAGCUUAGUACUUCUUCCCCUUUCUCUGCAGAGGGGCAGGGGGUGCUAAAAUAGAUACAUCCUAGCUAAUGGUGCAUCUUUGUACUCCAUGCAGCCAUCCUAGCGGAUGAGAUGGGUCUUGGGAAGACCAUUCAGGUAAUCACUUUUGUCUCCUUUUUUCCUAAUAGUAUAUUUUGCUAUGCUUUUGCACUAUAUUUGAAGAUUGUGCUACAUUUUUCUUCACAGACUAUUAUAUAACUCCUUUUUUGGCUGCUUUACAGGCCAUAACAUACUUAACAUUGCUGAAACACUUGAAUAAUGAUCCGGGUCCGCACUUGGUUGUAUGCCCGGCUUCUCUCUUGGAGAAUUGGGAAAGGGAACUCAAAAGGUGGUGUCCUUCAUUUUCAGUACUCCAAUAUCAUGGUGCUAACCGGUCAAUCUACUCAAAACAGUUGACCUCACUGUCGAAAGCAGGAUUACCUCCUCCGUUCAAUGUGCUUCUUGUGUGUUACUCUCUUUUUGAACGUCACAGGUUUGAUAUCUUAGUCUUAGGCUGUCUGCUACCCACUUGACAGAUGUCCAUUACUGAUUGUUGAUAAUGAUCACAGCGUUCAGCAGAAAGAUGAUCGCAAAAUUUUUAGACGAUGGCGGUGGAGCUGCGUCUUGAUGGAUGAAGCCCAUGCACUGAAGGAUAAAACCAGUUACAGAUGGAAAAACUUAAUGUCUGUUGCACGAAACGCGAAUCAGCGUCUAAUGUUGACAGGGACACCCCUACAAAACGAUUUACAUGUAUGCUUAAUGAUAAUUUUCUCUUAAUUCAAUUUCCUGAAUUAUAUAUAUGCCUGAAAAGUUAAUAGAUACUUGUUUUAAGUUUCUGUGUCUCUCUGGCUGUUGAUUUCUCUGUGGAAGAACUUCUUGUGAUACAAUUUGAAGCCCGUAUAUUUUCAUUAGUUGAACUGGCAGACAAGUUAAUCAACAAAAGGGAUGUGAAAAGAGCCAUGAAAGAAUGGGUUACACUUCACGACCUUCUUUGAAGAUUCUAAUAAUGAGUGAAAACAUUUUGGUGCUCUUUUUAAUAUUUUCAGCAGUCAAACCUCUAUGCGACGGUUAAAUAAUGCUCUUUGUGCUCUCUCUCUCUCUCUAUCUCUCUCUCUCUCUGUUUUCUUAUAGAUAUUUUACCUUUAAUCGGAAGAAUUGCUGAAAAGUAUAAAUUUUCUUAUGGCAACCGUAUUGAGUUUAUUGCAUGGGUAAGAGAGAAUGAGGGAAAGUCAUUAAGGAAAAGCACAACUGAAAAGCCAUAUGCCCAUGGUAGUCAUGAGCCAAACUAGGCCGAGACGACCCCAAUAACCUACUUAUAGCUUUGCAAUGACGUUUGGUAAAUAAAAUAAGAUGUAAUUGCUCUGUGCUAGAAGUAAUGUAGUUUGAUUAGAUGUAGGUUGUGUAAUGUACUUUGUCCUGACUCCCUUGGGUUUCUUUGUAGGAAUUGUGGUCACUGUUGGAAUUUAUGAUGCCUGAUCUUUUUGCAACUGAAGAUGUGGACUUGAAAAAACUUUUAACUGCUGAGGACCGAGCCUUAGUCAGUCGUAUGAAGUCCAUUCUAGGACCAUUUAUCUUGAGACGUUUAAAAUCUGAUGUUAUGCGGCAACUUGUUCCUAAGAUACAAAAGGUAUGGAUUUUGUUGCUCACCCCUAGCAGAUAAUAGUUUUAAAUAGGUUCAACCUCUCUCUCUCUCUCUCUCUCUCUCUCUCUCUCUCUGAGUCUAGGCCAGUUUCACUUUUGUUGUUUUUUUUAAUUUUUUUUCCUUCUUUUUUUUUAAUUUUUUUUUUCUUUUUUUAACAAAGCUAAUGCUUCAUUCUAGAGGGUCUCAGUGUUUAACUCUUGCAUAGGUUGAGUUUGUGGCAAUGGAUCAGCAACAGGAGGAGGCUUAUAUAGAAGCUAUUGAGGAGUAUCGUGCGGCCUCAGGAGCUCGUUUGGAAAAAUUUUCAGGAGAUUGCCUGAGCAAUGUCAACAAAAUUCUACCAAAACGUCAAAUUUCUAACUACUUUGUCCAGUUUCGGAAGGUGCUGCAUCAUAUUUGCGAUGUUUCCUAAACACAGAUGUUCUAAGGAUCUCAUGACUGAAAAGUGUUUUUUCUUGCUAAAAUUUGAUCCAGAUUGCAAAUCAUCCUUUGCUAGUGAGGCGCCUUUAUGAUGAUGGUGAUAUUGUUCGUCUCGCUAAGAAGUUAUAUCACAAGGGUGCCUUUGGGUUUGAAUGUGGUUUGGAAAGAGUAAUAGAUGAAAUGAAGAAGUAUAGUGAUUUCUCUAUUCAUCAGGUAUUUCUUAGUGGCAUAAACUACAUAUCUAUAAUGAAGUCAUUCAUAUAAUUGGGAUGGAUUAUACUCUCUUGUAUAAUUGCUCUUAUUGAUUGCUGCUUGUUGUCCUUCCGUUUUAUUUGAGCAGAACACUUACAUUAUUCAGAAGAUGUUGCAGAUAAGCCUGUACUUUCCAUUAAACUAGAUACUUGCUUAUUGAACUUAGUAUGUCAAGUUUCUACUUCAGCCUUGUCAAUAACUUACCUGGAUGGCAGGGGCACAAGCAAUCUGUAGUGCAACUUCUGAUCCUCAGUUACGUGUACUAUAUUUGAGCUAAAUAUACUGAUUUGGACCCUUUAUGGAAACCCUUUGUUGGCCAUCAUCAAGUAUUACUGAGGAAUAGAUGAGCUUCAUAGUUUACCGUAGUCUUGGGCCCAUUAUGCUUAAAGAAAGCUCUUCAGUGGCACUUGAUAGAAGCACCAAGGAACUCUUGUCUCAACAGCUUAUCUACUGUCUGCAUGACUAGUACACAACUUUAUUGCAAGUGACUGUUGAUAAUAUUUUAUUCCCGCCUAUUAUCUGGCAUCAGGGAGAUGAUAAAGAUGAUGGUAACCAUAUUAGACAGUGAUGCAUCUGAUUAACCAUGCCUUUUUUUGGCCAGCUGAUUUUCUGUAAUUUAACUGCUUUUUUGAGUGAUGCACAGUAUGUUUAUUGGCUAUACUUUCAAGUGUCACAGUAAGACUAGUGUUCUGUUUUUCAAAACUUAUUGAUGGACAUCCGGCAUAUUAAGCAUCUUCUUUCUGCUUGUCUCAUUGCCAGCAAAGUGAAAUUUUGAAUGGGAGCAGUCUAAUACUUGAUUUGCAUCAGCACUUUUUUUACCUAUUUGAUCAGUGAAAGUUUAAUUUACCUCAAACUUUGUACUGACGAUUUAUUGUGCCUUUUAACUUUUUACACUGAUAGGUGCCAUAACUAUAUUUGUGCAGCUUUUACUUUGUUAUGGUAUCGAUGGGGUUCUAUCUGAGGAACAUGCCAUGCUUUCCGCUAAGUGCCGUGUAUGUUUUCGUCUUAUAUCAUAUCAAGUUUAAUUUGAUCCAAUCCACUUGUAAUCAGAUGGAUUAGCUACAUUACAGGCACUGGCUGAACUUCUUCCUGCACUCCAUAAAGAUGGUCAUCGCGUCCUGAUAUUUAGCCAGUGGACCUCAAUGCUUGAUAUCUUAGAAUGGAUAUUGGAACUUAUAGGGGUUACGUACAGACGUCUUGAUGGAAGGUACUCCUGUCUGAUUUAUUUCUCUCUCUUGUUCUUCUGCAUUCAUUGAUUGCCUGCUAUCUUUCUUGUUUGCUUGCUCCUACUAACUGAAUGGUGAAAAUUCAAUAAGCAAAUUUGGGUAAUACUAUGCUCCAAGCAGGAAAUGAUUUUAUCUCCUUGAUCCUCUAUUGUGUUUGCCCUAGUAAAUGCGUGAUCUUGGGAGGGAGUUUCAUGUUUCUGAGUAAUAUGUUCUAUUGGCCGUGUUCAGCUUACUAUCUCUCUUUGUUGGGUUAGUAUGUCAUCCCAUUGAAUGCAGGAAUUUCUCAAGGUCUCUGUUCUUUGAAGCUGUUCUCAUAAUGGUUAUUUCUCAAGCAUGUCUUCAGUUUUCCCCCCUUUUGGAUCUCCUUGUCCAAUGAAGCAAUUGGAUUAAUGCUUACAUCUUCUAAAAUCCAGCAGUGCUUCCUGGAUUGUCAUUUUGUUUUAGCUCAUUGCUUCAUUAUAAAGUGUGGUUUAAUGUUCAUGCAUGCUCUGUAAAAGCACUUUGUUAAUUUGUGUAUAAAACUGCCAGUACCCAGGUGACGGACAGACAAAGCAUAGUUGACACUUUCAAUAAUGAUACUUCCAUAUUUGCUUGCUUGCUUUCGACGAGAGCUGGAGGACAGGGUUUGAAUUUGACCGGAGCUGACACGGUUGUCAUCCAUGACAUGGAUUUCAACCCACAAAUUGACCGACAGGCAGAGGAUCGCUGUCACCGAAUUGGCCAAACAAAGCCAGUGACUAUAUAUAGGUGCAGUGCCAGUGCCUCCGCUUCUGAGAACAUUUUUUUUAAUAUCCUACUCAUCGCUUUACUUGUUUUUGUGAUUGCACAUGUGAGCUUUUGUUAUAUUAAGAUAUUGAACCAAAUUCUUUUCAGGUUAGUGACCAAGGGAACGGUCGAUGAGAAUGUUUAUGAGAUUGCGAAAAGGAAGCUGGUUCUGGAUGCUGCUGUUCUGGAGUCUGGUCUUGAGGUUGAUACUGAGAAGGAUACAUCUGAGAAGACAAUGGGGGAGAUACUGUCUGCACUUUUGCUUCGCUAGAGGUUAGUUCGUUAGAAAACAAAUAGGUCGACAGAAGUUCAUGUUGUCAGAAUCGUCUUGGCAAUUCCCUUUCAUAUUUCUGGGUUAUAGUGGGGGCAUAUGCCAUUUUACUUUCCUGGUUAUCUCCCAAUAACACCGGUGUUAUGACAGUAAGUUUGUAUAUUUUAGGAUUUACUCGAGAGCAGGAGGGAGAUUUGUAUGUAAUAUUUAAAUGUUGACUAGCAUCUAUAUUAGGGGCCCAAAUUGGGCUCUGAUAGAAGUGAAUGUUGGCAGGAAUCUUUAUGAAGUGAUCGUCUGUCUGUCGAGCUUUUGAUGUUGACUUCUCUCGGACUUCAGUAUAGUGAUAGAAGUGAAUAUCGACAGGCAUUACUCUUCUCAAAUGGUAUCGUUGGUGUGUUAGCGCUUUCAGUCGGAUCUCUCAGAAAUCAGUUUGCUGUUUGGUAUCAAUCGGAUCUCUCAUCAGUUCAUUUCUUUGACCGGCUUAAGCCUUUGAUGUGUCAAAUCAAGGUCUUAGGCCUAUUUCCGUUUGCAGAUUCUGUCAGAUGACGCAAUAAAUCUUUCUGGUCAAUAAAGGAUAUAACUGAUUCGAAGGCAUCAACUGUACAUGGACAUUUACAGAGUACGACAUUCUGCAUCUGUGACGGUGGUGACAGAUUGGGACUAGUAGAAGUUUAACCGCAUGUGUCCAUCGUCAAAUAUGCCUUCGCCUGACCAAGGUUUGAUAAAAGGGAAAGCGCUUCUGAGGUCUACAUAAAUCCAUGCACUUCGGCACGAUGGUUCUCCUCUUCUCAACCUUAUGUCGAAUUGAUAAGUGAACUACUCUCAACCUUAGUGGAAUGAUAAGAUCCAAGAACCUCAAGCGUUCCGGGUGCUCUCCCGAACAAGACAGGAAGCCUAUUUAAAAUACUCCCAAUCUCAUGCCCAAAAUACUUCCUCUAGAUCUUUAAACUUUUCAAUAUUCGUAAAAUGCUGUCUAAACUCAUUUGUAGAAGGAAAAGAAUAUUGUUUUUUAGGAUUGAUAAGGUCAUAAAUUAAGAGGUGAAAGAUCUGGGAGUUCUUUUUCGGUCGAUGAAAGACUUGUAGCUACACUUACACUUGGAAUGAAUUGUUUCAAGUUACCCACCUUCAAUUUAUUGAACAUAUGAGAACAAGAACCUGCCAAUGCCUGAAAUCCGUUUGUUUUGAAACAUUAUGACUACUUCUAUAUGUAAUGUCAAUGCACUUUCAUGAAUCUCAAGAUAAAUCCAAAUGUAGAUGUUGUACUUUCUGAAUAGCCAAGUCGGGGACCACUUGAGCUCAUUCAAUAGGCGUACUGACACUAGGAGAUGUAAGAAGUAUCAUAUUGAAUGUUCUACAUUUAUUUAUCAAAUGAGACACAUCAAUCUUUUUUGGCCAUGCAAUUCUUACUUUCUCUCGCUUGGCCUAAUAUAGUCUCAUAUUCUAUGAAGUUACUUAUGAUGUUAAUUAUUGUUGCCUAUAUCCUUUUCAUUUUAGUAAUCACGUCUGUUGUGUAAUUUGCUAUCAUUCUUUUAGAAAGAAACUUCAUGAGAUAUGGAACUCCUUUUGAUGCAUCAUUAAGAGCCACAUACACGGGAACUCAGGGUUUUUUAAUAACCUGCAUAGCAAUUGACUCGCAGAAAUAUUUGAAGACGCGUGCAUUUUUUUUGUAAUAAUUUACUAAAUUAUUAUAACAUAAAGAAGAACUCUAACUAGUUUAGGAAGGGACUUGGAACAAGCCAAUUUAAAAGUUAGAAGUUCACAGUAGAAGUCCGAUACAUUCAAUCAAGAAGAUUGUCAAGAGGGAGUUUAAGUUUGAACCCGUCAACAUAUCUAAUUGUAUUCACUUUUGCUUAAAGGCUUAAGCCAACAAGUUAUGGGCCAACAAAGAUAUAUUAACCCCUAUACAUUUCGUUGAUUCUCCAAUAUAGGAGUUUUUCUAAUAUAAUUUACAUGUGCUUCUCGACAAUCUUCCUACCUAGCGUGAACUUAGUGUUAAACCCACCCCUCCUUAAUAAAUAUCCUUCUAUAUCAAUAUGUCUCAAUUUGAAUCCCUAAUGUUCACCUUCAUCUCGAGUCCCUUUCUCUAGAUUGAACUAUGAAGGCUACUACUAGGACCACAUUAGUCAGAUUCCUCCUUUGAGACAUUCCCCAACCACUUAUAUACAUUAGGAGUGGUUGGGAGUACGUAGUAGAAAUUCAAUAACUUUACUUAAUGAGAUUGCUAAGAGAAAGCCUAAAUCUGAAUGUGUCAACAUAUCUAGUUAGACUUGCAUUCAAUUGAAAACUUAAAUCAAUGAGUCAUGACCCAAUUAUGAUAUAUUAAAUACUGUACACCACGUAAAUCCUUGGAUACUGGACUUUUUUUUAACACAACUCAUGCAUGUAUAUGAAUAUCACAGUGAAUUCAUUUCCUUGUUCUACUCUCUCUCUCUCUCUCUCUCUCUCUCUCUCUAGCAAAGGUGUUGUCGGUGUUGGUUCUCUUGUUAGCUCUUGCCUCGCCAUGGUGGCAAACAGUGUUUGGCGGCAAAGGCCUGGUUGCAGGAGGAUUUUGUCAUUGAUGGAGAAGGUAGAAGACCGAAGAACAUAAAUAACGUGGAUUGGUUCUAUGUCAGCCACCAAAAGCAUAAACAUGGAUGUGUCAUUCAAUAAAAAGGGAACCAAUUCAAGAUGUAAAUUCAUCACCUGAAUGUAAAGGAUCUUUGUCACAUUAAAUAACACCGUAAGCUCGCAUCUAUUGCCUAAACAUCAUCAUCACUGCAUAUGAGCUCCCUGCAGCAAUGCGACUGUUACCACCAUGUACCUUUUCCACCUAUUGAUCGCUGACAAAUGGUUAGUUACCUUCUCAGGCACGUCACCCCCACAUUAUCAACCUAUCAAACUAUCAUGAGCUCGCGAAUAAUAUAUAGGCUGAACCGAUUUUGCCAUUGGAGCCAUGUUAUGGUCCAACUUGAUACCGAUCGCAUUUAUCAAUAGAACUCAAAUACGUGGAGGUUCUUCUCGUAACUUUGAAUGACUAUUCGAGUCAAAAGAAGGGAGCAUAUAAGAUCAUUGACGCCUUGCGUUUGUAGUAAGCGGAGACACAAUAUAAAAAGUUUAACGCGAACUACUUUCCAUGAUGUUUGUAAGACAUAGCCGGCACCAAGCAAUUGGCUUAUUCCUCCACCACAAAAUAAUAAAGGGUUGUUCAUCUUUUUCUGGGAAAAAAGAAAGAAUAGAAGAAGAAAUCAACCGGCCUUAGGGCUGAGAUGUUACUGCAGUAAGGCUGAGUUUCUGGGUUUGCGUAAGAUGUGACUGUUUCUGGAGCUGGAUUCGCAGCUACUUGCGACGCAACAAAUGCAUAAAAAGAACCAGAAAAAAAGAAAAAGAAAACGAAUAUGUUGCUGAAUAUAUAAACAUGCAUGGAUAGACACACCGAUGAGGUGGGAUGAUCCUUAAAAAGCAAAAUUUAUCAGUUACCGAGGGGGUUAUCUGGAUUAAGUAGAAAGUGGAUGGCAGGCGAAAAAGGAGUUAGUUGGUAUGUCAUAUAGGUAAUGAUGACGAUAAUAAAAAAAUGACAACAAUAAUUCCAUUUUUGAAGAUAUUUUGUAGCAUCAGCUCGCUCUCAGGUCUCCAUCUUUGUAGGGGAAUCUUUUCUUUUUGGGGUGCGUGUUUGUGUGUCGUAGCAGCACCCUCUAGUCUCGCUCUCUCUCCUACAGAAUUGAUAGCCCGUGAUAUCUCUCUCUCUCUCUCUCUCUCUCUCUCUCUCGUAUGGAUAUGGUACGGCAACAGCUGCGAAGUUACCACCCCAUGAAAAAGCCCUACGAUGGAAAGAUAGUUUCUUGUCAUUUUUGCUCUCAUAUGUCAACAAAGAAUCUCUCCCUCGUUCUCCCUCUCUCUCUACAUACUGAUGUGCAAUGUGGGAAUGGUCCAACUGCUACGAAAUCGGCAGCUUGAGGGAACCCUACAACAAAAAGGAAGGUCCCUCGAUGCGUUUCUCUCUCUUUCUCUUUGACAGACGAUCUUUCUCGCCUCCUUUUAUUUAUUACCCUCAGAGAGAGAGAGAGAGAGAGAGAGAGAGAGGGGUACCUCUUCUCAGUACUUUUUGUCACUGCCUGCCUCUGCUUGAACAACAGCAUCAUAUUAAAUUAUGUCAUAAGAUAAUCGGCAAAGUAUAUGGAACCAAUUAGGAGAAAAAAAGAAAUAUAUAUAUAUAUAUAUAUAUAUAUAUAUAUAUAUAUUAUCUCUUAUAUUCUAUUGGUGGGUAAUGAGCUUUGAAGAAUAUUAACACAUUAUUUUUUUACCCUUCCCUGAAAAGAAAAAGAAUAUCUUGCAUCAUAUAAAUAAACAAGGGGUGACCCACAUAACGUGUCCACUCGAAGGUCGCCAUCGCUCACAUGCAAUCGAGCAGGCGAAUCACGUCGUCUUUGGUCGUGUUGUUUGGGGCUUUGUCCUGCCCUUUUGUAGUCUUGCCUGCCGUGAAAAAGUCCACCCAAUUCGCGUAAAAUCGCAAAACGCCAUGCAACGACACGAAUACGAGCGGGUUGCACAAUGCGCGCGCGUGCGGGAGGUCGACUGAAGUACUGGUUUUAUCACUUUUUUAACACUUGAUGAUACAUAGUACUUCAAGUCUGUAUAGCUUCUUCAACCGAUCAUUUACUUAGUGCAGCUACCUGCCUCACCUGGCGUAGUUUUCUUUGUCAUGCGUAUCGAUGUGUUCCCUCUUUGUAUUCAUGUGAAAUCCCUGCCUAAAUUCAACAGUCCCUCGUGGAGCUCUGGUUCGUCCCAUGCGGCCGGGUUUUACGUCAAGAGGUUCAGGUCACAUGGUCUGGAGUGAAAUGGCCCUUCCUUCUCAUGCCACUUGCUCUUUCCAUUUCCUUUUCCAGUUGGUCAAGCAAAUUCGAUCUUCUGUACAACGCCUGACCUUUAUAGAAAGUGAGUUCGCCGGAAGAUGAUCUUCAAUUCUCAAAAUUCAACUAAAACCAGACAACGCGCUUUGUCCAUCGGAGUUCUCCUCCGCCUUCAAGCUCUGAAACUAUGGUCCUCUCCAUCCAACGCCUUGCGCGAACUGUGCGUCACCAGCAAAGCCCACCUCUUGAGGCGUACUAGCCAAAACAAAUUUUCUGUCUAGCGUCGGUAACUCGGAACUUCGUCGAUACAUCCGUAGGCCUAUGUACAUUUAGUCCAAGAACCGCAGUUAUGUACCUAUUGGAGUGGGGUCUUGAUAACCUCUUGACUAUAAGGCUCAAUUUGUCCUUCCUAAAUCAUAAACAUCACUUCGCAAAAUUCCUUUUUUUUUUUUUUCAAGAUGAUGUAUCAUGAUCUUAGCACUAAAUUAGUUUAAUAGUCUAUUGAAGGGAAUGUAUCUUACAUGUAAAUCGUUGGGUGUGGCGAAGUACCAAUCAAUUUUGAAGAAGAUGAGGUUGUAUCCCAAGGAAUAGGCGGAAUUCGCUUUGGGAUUUGAAGUACUUUAAUUUGAUUCUCUCUUGUGAUGUGACAGUGUUUACACACAGGGUUUGAACGCUAACAUGUGUACGGGUUUUGAUUUUGUUAAGUGAAUUCAUUGAUGAUAAUUUCUAUCUGAUGACUGUUUGUGUAGAAAAUAUUUCACGCAGGAGAUAUACCUUAUACAGAUCCAUGAAGGAUCUUACUUCUAAUGGGUGGUAUGUGAUUAUCUGAGACACAGAAAAUUAAAAAUUAAAAAAAUUAAAAAAUUAAUGGAUCUGUUGAAUGGGAAGACGACAGGUGGCAGAUUCAAUUAACGUGCGGACGACCCAACAAAAGAUAUGGGGCACGGCGAACAGAAGUGGAGGGGGACCCUCAAACCCGAGCUCGUCAGUUUGCUAAACAAUCACAAGAAAAUCUUCCCAGUUUUAGCAGCAGCAACAGUGUGCUUCUAGUCCCGAAGGUCUUGUCUAUGGCUAGAUUGUUGGGGCAUACAUGGAAGUUCAUUGUGAUCUUCAUCUAUUAGAAAAGUAAAAGAAAAAUGAAGAAGAAGAUGAAAAACAAGGAGAUUCUCUCAUCAUUAUGGCCACUCAAGAAGCCAGAACCCUUGACUGGGUCGCUGCUGUCUACGGCGAUGGCUGCUCGAUGGAUGAAAACUGGGGAUUGACGUCUCUGACUAACUCGACGUCCUCAAUUUGUUCUCUUCGAAGUGGAUUAUACGGAGCGUAACUACAAGUCAAUGGUCGAGAUCAUUUCUCUAUCUCCAAGUCUUUUCCACCAGUUUCGUUUCUUCCCUUUCUUUGACGCCGCCAGCGAUGUCACCUCCACCGUUGACCUCAGCCCUAGCCAACACGCUCUCUCUCUGAGCAACCGAUGAAGUGCUACGGCGAGCCAAUGCGCUGCGCAGACGAGCGGAGGUGGAGGCAUUAGGGGAGAGGGGAGGGAGAAGGGAUUUGAGGGUUUUGUUUAAGAUUUGUCACGAAGAAUAAGAGUAGUUUAGUGAACUUUGAUCAACCCUUAACUACAGAGGACACUAUUGAGAUGGCAGAAGCUCACGACUAUGAUCUUUCUCUCGAAUUCGGAUGGAUGCAAUCUACGGUGAGUUAGCUCUUGAUUUGACAUAGGGAAGAACUGUUUACAUAAAGUUCAUUAAACUUUUCUUUGGUUAGCAUUUAGAAUAUACAAGGAGGAAAAUGACGCCGUGCCCACCUUUUACUUCCAAAAGGGCGGCAUUUUCAGCCAACCGCAGUACAUCAGAUCACUUUGCGUAUCUUUUCGGGAGAAAAUAUUCGGUCCACCUGACUUUGGACUAAAUAUCACUAUGACAGCAUUAUUUGGCUUAUGUCCUGCUUGUCAAGAUUUCACUUAUUCACCUACCUAAACUUAUUAUCUCUAUGGAUUUAACUUACUUUAUGUCAGCUAAUGAAAGUUCAUUAAAACUUUCAGUCACAUAGUUUCCUUGGAAUUAUUAAUAAGGUUUUGACUUCAUUACCCUUGGAUGGAACGCAAUGAAAAGCUCAAGGAAAUGCUUCCUCUAGUUGGAUAGACACAAGGAGAAUGAAAGUGGGAGGAAAUGUGUGUACUGAGCUACGCGCCGCGCCGCGCGUGUCCUUUACAUUACAUAAAUUCAUGCCACGAUAUCAUUCGUAACAAAUAAAUUAGACAUUUCAAGCGGUGAUUUUUCUCGGCGAGUCUUUACUUACCAUACUUUUCAAGAUUGAAUUUGUUUCGACUCUUGAUUUUUAACUAGUUUUAAACACGGAUUUAGAGCUUAUCUUUCCUCAUUGUCAUCAGGGUCAUGAAAAAGCCAUACCAAUUAUGGUUCUCCCAACUCUAUCCUUUAGAUUCCUCUAUCUGUCUACAGAUAUCAUAAAGGGAACUUUUCUUGUAGUAGAAAGCGGCCAUAAUGAGCGUGGGGGAAAAAACAAGAGAGCUGCCUCAUAAAUUCUUUAGAAUUACAAGUUUUGUCUAUCCAUCAGGAAUAAUACCAAAUGAAUGGUGGGCAGAUGGUUAAAAAGCAAAUAACUGAAAUCGCAAAAGGGCCAGCAUCGAUCUCUCUCGAUAAAGCUCACUACAUUUUCAAUCUAAUGUUCUAGCGUACCCAUAUACAUUUUCGGGCACGAGUUGAAUUGGAAACGACCAUGUGCUUCUAUGGUACAGACUUUAUAGUAUACUAAGACGUGCAUGCACUAGGUUAUCAUGUGAAAAAAAUAAUCGUGGGGGGGUCAGAGAGGUGUAUAAAAUCUCGUGAGAGAGAGAAAGAAGAGAGAGAGAGAGGGAAUAUUUUUUCCUAACAAGAUGAAAUAUCACUUGCUGGGGGCGGAUGUUGAACAGCUCACCAAGAGAGAGAAGGCUUGUCUUUUAUGUUGUCCGUGCCGGCCAGGGGCAAGUAUUCCAAGCAGCUGACCUAAUGGGACCCUGCUAAAAGAUCAUAUUAUAUACACUCCGCUCGAUCAAUAAUAUCGACGAUCGGGUCGUAAUAAUUCGAGGAUUCGUGCUGUUUCAAACGAUUCGGAAUCCAAAGCCCGACCAUCUCUCAGGGUGUGGAUCGCUCUAUGACGCAAGGAAUAUAACCGAACGGAAAGAGUUUUUAGUUGUUUUCAGAACGAGAUAUUAUCCUAAUUGAGUGAUGAGCAAGAAUGUAACUAUUCAGCGAGAAAAUAAUGGCGUGUCGAUAUGUUUUCCUCCCUUGUCGUUCUUCCAACUAAAUCUUUAAUCCGUACAUUUUUGUAUGUGAUCAGUAUUCGUAACUUGCAACUCAUCAAUUGAAAAUUCAAUUGGAUGAAGUUUCCUCUAACCAACGACGGAGUUGUGUUUUGAGAUUACUAAAGAUAGCUUCGCUUUCUGAUGGGGCCGACGACUCCUUCGUGUGGAGAAGGAGGUCCAUGCGCUCUCUCUCUCUCUCUCUCUCUCUCUCUCUCUCUCUAUACCCCCAUCACUUUCGUGUCACUCCACCGUGGGACACCGGGAAUCCAUGGGAAAAAAACCCUAAGAGAGAAGUCCUUUCUCGAGAGAUAAAAGGUGACCCACCCCUCGAAGCAAGUCGCCCUCUACUUUUCUUUAAUUUAAACAUUCUCUCCUUGUCCUUGUCCCCCCGAGGCCGGGAUCUAAAAAAUUAUAAUCCCACCUUAAUAUCCGAUAAAGAAUGAGGGGAAAUCGUUGGGAAUAUUAAGUAGGUAGUGUCUUGUUGUCUAAGAAUUUAGGUAAAGUAUGUCGCCGCAUUAUUUAAUAUCGUCUUGAUGGUGGAGGAGGCCGGAUCGCGUACGUGACUAGUUAAGUACGACCUACUGGUUGGUCUUGCAGGCAUCAAUUUUUAUGGAGAAAUGCGUCGCAAUGAGGCCCGAGUGCCGAGCAAGACUAUGCGAACCUCUUUUUUUUUUUUUUUUCCUUAUGUUAAAUCGGUUAUUUGAUGUUGUCGCAGGCGAUGGUAGGUACGAGCUGCCGGAGGCACGUCGGCGAGGGCUAGCAGCCGCUGCAACAGGCGGGCAAAGGCGCGGUAUCGGCACAACAGGCUCUACAGUUGUUGGGGUUGUUGGAGAGAGAGAAAUGGAAAAAGGAAAAAGGAAAAAGAAAAUAGAAUAAAAUAAAUAUCUCGGCACUAUUGAAUAUUUAACAUGAUAAUGAGUGGCUCGUCUAUAUGGAUUAAAUUUAGCAUGUAAGUUUACCUCUAAUUGGAGGAUCUCUAUCCUUUCAUGUGACCUUAGAUACCAAUAAUAAUAAUUAUUUUUUUAUUUCGUAUUUUAGAGUUAUUUUUCUAGAACGAUUCUUGCUUUCGAUGCACUAUAAAUAGAGGCCGGUUUAGUAAUUUUCUGGGAUGUUUCUACAGUGAAUUGAGAUUGUCAUACCCAUUACGCUACGUACUUCUCCGUGGUCUUGUUAAACUCUCUUUCUUCGUGGCGGUCGCAGAUUGCUAGCUAGCGAGCCGACAAUUAACUUUUCCUGAUAAAUCUGACAUUUGCUUAUUUAAAUUCCUUGUAAUUUUAUUCCAUUUAUAUACAUUGCUCACCAACCAUAGAUGAGGCGUAAGAGUAUACACAAAUCUAAUUCUAAUUCAGUCAUUCUCCGAACAUUAAUGAAGAAUCGACGGCACAUAGCUCGUGCAAUCCGAUGUAAAACGUCGACCAAACGAAGGGGUGUUUAUCAAAGAUGAAAGACUGGCCAAACGAAGCGUACACUCUCUCGAGAAACAGGACGAACGCUCUUUGCUUUUAAAACAGUAAUUAAUAAUAAAGAAGCGACAUUUAUGACAGGUCCUAAUUAAGGAGAAAACCCAAAUUACGGUAGUCCGCAAAUUUAACUAGAAUCACUUUCUUUCUUUUUUUAUAAGAAAAAAUUUAGGUCUUAAGUCCGCCACCUCCAAAGUUCAAAUGGUGACUCGUUUCUGCGAGAAAAAUCACUUUUAGAUUCAUAAACUUCUGACUUGUAGAAUAUCUUAUUUUGACCAAAAAAAAAAACUUCUGACUUGUAGAAUAUCUCUAACUUGGAUGAGGUAAUAUGUAACAAAAAAUGCGGAAUUAAUUCCUCUAAGGUCCUGCUACGAUUGAGAGGAAUGAGACAACGAGAAAAACAUAAAAGUAAUCUGAAUAAAGAAUGAGGAAUGGGAAUUGCACUUGAUUUCUGAAUUAGAGAAGUGGUUGGUACCGUUUUAGAAUUGGAAAUAUGAUUUGAAUCUUAAAAUUUUUAAUCACUUUAGAACUAACAGGAUAUGGUUAGUACAACUUUUCCGUCAUAGUUGCUUCAACUGUGAUAAAGGAUACCGCAACUUUCACAAGGUAUUUGCCCAACAUUUCAUAGCCAUUUGAAAUCCGUUUCGCCUACCUUUAAUCCAUUUGCUAUAGUUUUAAACAUUUAUUAACAAGCAUACAACUCCCAUACUUCACAGCACAAGAUGGUUAAAGAAAAGCUCGAUUGUGGUUUAGCUACAGUUACACCAAGCGAGCUUUGACCCUUGAUUGUUUUUACAUUUUUGUAUGCAAUGUAAGCGAUUAUUUAAAAAAUAAUUAAAAUUAUUCAUUUUUCGAAGCAAACAUAUCAUUAAUCUCAAAAUUUGUUUUAUUAUGUGUUUUGGUCUCUAAUAAUCUGCAUUUGCGUGGAGUUCAAGUCAUUAUGUUAUUCUAGGUGAGUAAAAAAUGCAAGGAUAUAAGGGUCACCCUUUGAUUUUAGGGUCAUUUUUGCAAUUUCGUUGAGAUUCCCUAAUCUUACGGGCAAAGAAGUGGGACCCAAAGUUAAGCUGAGUCUUAGGUCAAAUUAUAUAAUACUACCAGGCCUUUAUAUAAACUUAAUUGUAUAGAUUAAACUUUAGGGAACGGUCAAGCAAUUUUUUCAUACCAAGAUUUCGAGUUUAGUUCAGUCAAUAUGACUCGCCAUAGUGGAUUAGGUGCCAACCGUUCCUUUGUGGCUUGACUCAUUAUAAACAAUAUUUUAUGCACGCCCAAAUUGAGUUUACACUGUCAUAGAGAUCUCGAGUUUGAUUCUUUCACCAAUUAGUUAUCUUAUAGUAUUCGAUAAUGCAACCUUUGCAUGCCUUAGCUAAAAAGGAUGCAGAUUUUGACGCCAACAAUUUGAAUGGUGCCAUCAUAUUAAUUGUUAGAAUAUUUAAAUAAUAAAUCACUCAUUCUUCUACUUUUAGAACAAUUGGCAAUUGUUUCAAGAAAAUCUCGUAUGAUAUUGGAAUUAGAAGCACCUCAGUUCAAAUCUUCUAGACUUUUAUUUGCCUCCUUAAUCACAUAUUUUGACGCCUUUGGCUAUAGCUAAAGUCCCAAUCUAUUAAAUAAUUAGCAGUGGUUCCAUAAAAUCUCAUAUUUGUGUUAGUUGUUCACAUCGAAAUGUUUCUAAUGAUUGCAAAUAAUUUUUUGAUUGAAAAUAAAAACUAGUGAAAGCAUGUCAAGUCAUGUUGACUUCGAAUUAGUUGUGGCGAUGUCAAAUUUUAAUUUUCACAGGGAUGUUCUUCUCAUGUUAAAAUCUCAUCUUGUUGAGUGAAGAAUUGCCACUCACAAUAUAAAUUCUCUUGAUGUUAACGGAACUAUUGCGUCAUUAAUUUAAUACACAUAUGAUCCUGGCAUGUCAUCAAAACAUAAUGUCGUAGUGAUAUAUACUGAUCUUAAAAGGAUGGUACAAGUCAAUAGAUAAGGAAUUUAUAUGGUGUACACAGCUGGUAUUUAAUAUGCAAUUUACAAAAUUGCGUUAAUUUUUGGUAACUAUGCAUGCUUCAAUUUGCUAUCUACUUAAUGCAAACAGGGAGGACUAUUUAUUACCAGCUUGAACUCACCACACAUAUCAUAUCUUUCUUGAGUACCCAUAUUGUAAAUUGUAGAACAUUUGCCGUGAUCCUUGUUUUUGGAGCCAUAAAACUACUUUUACACUGCAUUUGUUUCGUGAAAAAUAAAUAAUAUAGAAAAUAUUUUCCUAAAAAAUGAUUGGUCGUAUUGUGUGUAAUAAUUAGUUAAUGGAAAAUAUUUUAUCGAUACAAAUUUAUGUCUGAAUAUGUUUAUAGACGACAAAAAUAUUUUUCGUUCAAUCAUUUUUAAACGUAAUACAAGCGUUCUUUUUCAAUAAAAUAUUAUUCAUAUAUUUAUUUUUCGCCAAACAAAUGAAAUUUUAACCAUAAUUUGAAUUUGGUGGAUAAUAAUUCGUGGCUAAAAGGGUUUUUUCUUGUAACGAGAAUUUCGAUCCUAUGCCCAAAAAAGAGGGUUUACUCUUCAUGCUAGUGUCUCCAUCACCACAACAGUCCGUGGUGACCUCUUCAAUGCUCUUCACUAUUUAACAUAAAAGAGAAAUUAAAAAAAAAAAUCCGUUGUGAAUUUAGAACAGUUUUGUCUUAUGGUGUUUGAGACAAAAGUAAAGAAGCAGCUACAUCUCAACUGCCAUUGCAAUUUCUCACAACUAAAAAGACUCGGAGAUGGGGACGAGAAGAGCAAAUGAAGAAACGUGGGAAAGGGAAACACGACGGAUGAGGCUUGUUCACAUACAUCCAAUCGAUUUGACUAAUCUUCGUAAAUACACACAGAUUGUCUUUUUUUUUUUGUCGAUUAUUCAACUCAUACUUUAACUCUCACUCUUAGACUUUUAUCUUGUCUUAUUGCAAAAUGUGGAAGUCGAAACAUACACUUGAAACUAAAUUGUCCUCACUUUAACUCCCGAGAAGGUGGAGAUUCAAACUUCCCACCCCUCUUCCAUAUUGAAAGAGUAGCCACUAGGACAAGCCUUAUAAUGGAGGGAGCGGCUUGUAAGGUUACAUUGGAUAAAGCCUCAAAGCGUUUUCUUCCAAAGAUUUAUACUAUUAGGAAGCGAGUCAAUAAUGUUCGUAUAGUAUGCCAAGUUUUAAACCAUUGACUUAUGUUUAAGUGCAACUUGACAUUGAGGGCAAUACAGCUCUGAGUUGGCGAUGUCUUUUGAAGUUAAGACCUGCUCUAACCUCAAUGAUCUCUAGCUCUAGAUAUUGUUACAAAGAGGUAUAUCAAGAAUUCAAAUAAGUGGGACCAAUCAUAGAGUGAUAAGUAUUCAUAUGGAUCGAUGAUAUUAGUUUACACAAAUUCACACAUGGCUUACCUGUAAAAAUAGAUUGCCGACAAAAGAGGCCGUAACACACUUGAAGCCUUUAGUUGAUAUUCAAUAUAACUUAUGUUUGUCUAGUUAAUUAGACGGAACCCAUUUAUUCUUUAAGUGCCAUUGAAUGUAGAGUAUAUGGCGAAGUAUCCUCGUCCAUAAUGGUAUUCAACGUUCUUUUAAUUAUGCAAGUACUCCUUUAUUAAUCUAGGUUCAUCUUAUACAUUCUCUGCACACAUCUAUUUGUUUAAGGGUGAAGUAUCAUUUAUGUCACUUUUAACUUUUCCUAAUUGUCCUCUUGCAAUAUUUAAUAUCCACUCAUCGAUGCAAAAACCAACUUCUUCUUUUUGCUACACAUAAUCGCCUUGAUUACCUACUCUCUUUUUUUUUUUUUGUGCAUAACUAGACCAUAGUAUAUGUGCACAUAGCGCGAGCUUAAACCCUAGUGCAUCUUCAUUCGGAUGACAUAAAUACAAAUUAAUUUUGCUCACUUUCCUGUGGCCCAUGCGUUGGAACCAUGGAAUUUGAUAAAUCUCACCUUGAGCUUCGCCACAUUUUGAAAAAUGGACUCAGAUUGUACGGAUCGGAUUCAUAAAAAGAGAAUUUUUUCUCUUGGGAACCUGCUGAUUGAGAGGGAUCGAUGAAGGCAGAUGGAAUAUGCCCACAUGACAAGCCAAUACAAAAGCACAGAAUCACAUACCACAGCCACGUCAAUUAUAUUAGCAGAAGAUAAGGUAUGAAACUGAAGCUUUUAAGAUGGGAAAUACAUUAAAAUUAUAUUUUAAAAUGUAAUUGAAUAUAACAGUGAGGUCGGCCGUCGCAACUUUUUAAGACCUACGCAUAUGGCAUUUAUUUAUUUAUAUUUAUCCGAAAUUAAGUUGCUUUUACGCCGUUUGUAUCAAUUCCAGCUCUUACUCGUACAUCCCUAUGCUGCUGUGCUUUUUAUGCAGGGUAAGGACAAGACAUGUGAUUCGCCACUUGGACAUUUGUUCGGGCUGUAACUGGUAAAUACGAAACCGAUCUUUGUCUCUGACUUGAAAAGCUCGAAUUACUUUAUUGUUUUUCAAUUGGAAAAUAGUAACGAGGAUUUGCCCCUAGCCGGAAAUUAUCAUGGUCCAACUAGCAAUUAAUUAGCACUCUUCUCUUAAUUCGUUUUGACCGUAUUAUUUUCUUAAUGUAAUUGAGUUGCUCAUUCCCGAACUAUUAGUUUUGAAUUGAUAAACAUUACGGAAACUCAUUAUUCUCUUAAACUCAUUUUGGCCAUAUUCUUCUCAUCAUCCAUAAACAAUCUUCUCACGUGUUUCAAUCACUCAACCUUCCUAGAGUUAUAAUCACUACACUCGAUUUCUACACAGGAGAUUAGCAAGAUAAAGACUAGAUGCCCAGAACAUAGAGUUUUAAAUUUUUUAUCUUUUCUCGCCCAACUCAACUUCUCCCCUUGAAUUGAAUUUAUAGACAUUUGUCUUCAAAUGACCUACACAAACUCAUAUCCAAGAUAUAGUUGUCAGUUCUACCUUCAAUCGCAAGCAAAUUUCCCAUUAUAGAGCUUUUAAAGAAAAAAGUUCCAUAUACAGUAGCAGUCUGUCAUUCUUUGUUUUUAUUGGUAAAAGGAAAAAAAAAACUAUUUGAUCUUUUCUAGUUCUCUUUUUAUGGGAUUCUAACACUUAAAAAAAUCAGCUGUGAAAUACUUAUUUAUAGACUCUCACCAUCACACAUUUGAGCCAUUCACUUUGUUCAUAGCCUGUUGCCUAUUACGAUCAGGUCCAUCCAAACUUUCCGACUGUCAUGUCAUACAGUUUGUUCAUCAUACCCAAUUAGGCCCCUUCAAGUUUAUUGACAUUCUCAUGUAUUGUAGUCUAUCCACUUUUUACUAGUCUUUCCGAACUCUUUGAAAUCUCACAUCCUACACUUUGCUUUGCAUCUGCAAACCAGUCCAUCCAAGCUUACCGACGCCCUCACAUCUUGUAGUUGAUUCACCUUCUAUUAGUCCAUCCAAAUUCUUUCCACUUCCAUUAGUUUGUUAAAUAUAUGCGAGAUAAUUUUCGAUGUAUGUAUUUGCAUCCACUAAUUUGUUCACCUCCUACAGAGUCCUUGUAAGCUCGAACUCAUUUCACACCGAAUGACCUGUUCACACUCCACAAUAUACAAAGGGCCUUCCCACACGCACGAGAAUGCACAUGAUGCCGUUAUCGACACCGUCUGCACAUGAUCCUACAUAUGUUUGCAAGUAGUACCUCUAAUACACACUCGAAUGUGCAUAUUGGUAGCCUUUAAUUGUCUUAUGAUCUUCAAAAGAAAUGCAUUGAAGAGAAUUUUCCCAACAAUCUUUUCCUUUAUAUGCAAUACAUUCAAAUGCACGUAUCGGCAACCUUUGAGUAUGAGUUCGCAAUAACUAAUGAUAUACACAUGAGACCCCGAUCAAGCCAAAUAACUCUUGCUUAAGUCAUAUGCUAAUUUAUUUUUAUGUUUUUUUUAUAAAACUAGAGCUCACCAUAGCCCUAGCUUAGCGCAUAAUCGUCAAUUUGAGCAAAGAAUUAAAACGGGUUACGCAUACACAAUUUUGAAUAAAUCGUGAGUGUCAAAAAAGAGGAGAAAAAUAUGCGAGCGCGGGGGUGACGAAAGGAAGUUUUGGAAGGACUCAAAGCAGAGAGAGAGAGAGAGAGAGAGGGAGAGAGAGGGAGA
rnacentral:lncRNA from 1 species